AAGAAUAGAGUGUAAUUAGCUCUUAACACUAUGAAAAUGAUAUAAAAUAUAUAAGAUUAUACAAAUUAAACUUGAAUUGCCUUAACCAAAAAAAAAGCAAAUUAUUUAUACCUCAACUUAAUUUUCUCUUAUUAUUAUUAUUAUUAUUAUUAUUUGUUUAUUUAUUUUAAUUUCAAUUAUAAUUUAUAAUAUAUUCACCCAUAAACUUACCUUUCACUUUUAUUGGCAUUUUUCUACCACAUGAUACAUUUAUUAUUUUUUGCUCAUUUCCCAUUUUUUUUCUUUCCCUAAGUCCUAGUUCAUAAACAACUAAACAAGGGACAAAAAUUCAUUGUCGUUUAAGUACUGAAAAUGGUCUCCACAUGCUCAAUUAAAAUAUCCAAAAUGGGUUGGUGAUUGAAUUAUUUAAAAAAAUGUUUGGAACUCUUAAUAAAGAAAGUGCUUAAGGGCCCUAAGCAUGUUUUAGUUUAAUACUAAUAAUAGAGGUUACAAUAAUUAUUUAAAUAAACAAGUGGAGACAUUGCCAAUGGGACAACUGUUCACCCUGUUUGCUUUGACAGACAAUUUAAUAAAUAUUAUGAUUAAUUAAUUACACUAAACAACCCCAUAUUUAAUAUGAUUCUGAUCUAAAUAAUGCUGGUCAUUAUCACGCUUUUUACUACUUGGUUUGUUUCAAGUUACACUUGCCUUUAUUUUGAGGAGGAAAAAAAGAAUAUUUUCUAUUGCAAAUAUCUGUUUCAUACACAGAAAAUAUUGGGUUAAAUGGCAAAAAUGUAAAUGAUUGAGGUAGAUUGUGAUUAAUUAAUUUUAUUUUCAAUCAGUAGGAGUAUAUGUUAGCUUACAAUAUCUAUGAAGCAUUUACUUAUUUAUCAGGUAAAAGAAUUGAUUCUAAUAAUUCAAUUUCAAAAAUUAUUCAUUAUAUGAGUAUUAUUGAGAGAAAAAAGUGAUAUAUUAUAACUAUUUCUUGAAAAAGUAUUUUUGUAAAGUAAUAAUUUGGGUUUGGCUGAUCAAUUUAAACAAUUUAUGUUUGCCUUAAAGUUUUAAUAUAAUAUUGCUUUCGGCAAAGCUGCUACUAGUCAAAAGUAAUAUCUUUUUUUCUUUUCAUAAAAUUUUAACCAAAUACAUCUGAAAUAAAACACUUUUGGCUAAUCAAUUAGCCACUUAAAACCAAAAGAAAAAAAUUCUUUUCUUUUAUCUUAAUUAUUUUUAUUUUAUUUAUUCAUGGGGUAAUGUUUUAAUCAUGAUUGAGGUAUAAAGUAUAGGUUCAUUAACAUACUGCUUCGAUCAUUGUUACCUAUUAUAUUGUAUUAUUAUUAUAUUAAAUGUUUGAUUUAAUUAUAACUUAAUAUAUAUAUAUAUUAUUAAAUUUCUUUAUUAUGUAAUAGUAAUAAUGAGAAUUCUCAUUUCAUGGAACAAUUGAUUUGCAGUGUUUCCAUUGUGACUUAUUUUUUUCUAAUUAUAUCCUUACAUAGUAUUUCAUAAUUAUCCAUUAUCCUUUAUUAUUUAAUUCUAGUCAAACUUUCUAUUCUAAAAUAUUAUCAAACAACAACAAAUAAUACCGUCUAAUCAAAAUUAUAUUCACUAUAAAUAUAAUAUAAUAAAUAUUGAUAUAACAUAAUAUAUUAUAAAAUAAUACCUAAACAACAAUCAAAAGAAUGUAACACCUCCAAUCAAAAGGUAUAAUACUAUGACAUUUUCAUAUUUAUAAUAAUUUGAGUGCAACAAACCCCUCAAAAUCAAAAAAUAUAUAUAUAAAAAAAGAUGCAACGGAUGAAGCAACGGGUAGGGGAAAUAUCUACCCGAUGUCUAGUUAUUUGAAGUAGAGAGACUCAGAAGCUGACAACAAGGAAAAUGGGCAGUAGAGUUUUGAGGGGCAGGGGACAUAAAUAUCUUGUGGAGUAGAAGAUAUUUAGAACAAGGGCCUCAUGUUAUAUCCAAUGGCUAACAAUUAUUUGAUUUUGUUUUUAUUUAAAUUUUCAUAUUUGAUUUUAAUUGUACACGUGGCACAAUUUCCUAUGAGAUUUCAAUCUCCUUAUAGCUACUUUCCCAUAAACUUCUAUUUUUCGGAUGGACCUGCUGUUUCAAUGGGCAUAAUGGCAACAUUCAUGUCAUGCAUACAUUUUGAACGUUUCGACUUCUCAUUGGUCAACCACUCAAUUGUUGAAAUGAAUAUUUCUUUUUAUUUUCAAUUUUUGGGUCGAUGUAGUUUUUAUUUAUCAAUAUUUAAAGUUAACAUGAUUUUUUAUUUAGUAUUUAAUUAUUUACUCAUUUUAAAUAUUAUUUUAUUUGUUUAAUAAAAUUUAUUUAUUUUUUUGUUUGAUAGGAUGUUUUGAAUAAGAAUAAAAAUAUAUUCAAUUUUUUUUUAAAAAAAAUUUAUUGAAAUUUCAAGCUAAAUUUAGGAUCCAAUAUAUGUAUCAUUCCUAAAACUAUGGAUUGAGACAUGGAAAAUAAGUUAAAAUUCAGCAAUGUGUAAAUUAAUAUGCGUUUAUUUAUUUUUAUUAAAUAAAGCUACCUUAUACUAUAAGGGGGUCUUACUGUUUUUUUUUUCGUUUGAUGCUUUGGAACCCAAACAAUAAAAGGACAAAAGAUUUGAGGAAAAAAAUGGGUCCUUGAAAUUGAAAAGAUAUUAAGGAUUCAUUUGAUUAUGCGAUAUGAAAUUAUAAAAUAAAAUUAAAAUUUUAUUUGAAUAUGAGAUUUGAACUUUUUGUGUUAUAUAUUUUCUCAUAAACAUAAGUAUCAACAAAUUGUAAAACUAUAAAUAUAUAACCCCAAUUAUCUAUUCAAUCUUACUGAAUAGAAUUUUUGUUGAAGUUAGGUUGGCAGCUAAUAAAAAUAUUUUUCAAUUAGUGCCAUUGUUGGCAAUUUCACAUUUAAAAAUGCAUUAAUUUCGUGCUAAAAUCAAACAUAUUGCGAAUUUCAAACGCACAUCAUUAAUUUUGUCAUUUUUCAUAUUAACUUGCUUUAAACUUUUACAUACGUAGUCGAAAGAGAAGAAUUUUUAUUACGAAAAAUCAAAAAUAUGCCCUUACCCGUUCUUAUUUAUAUUCACCAAAUCAAUUCAUACUUUAUCAUUUAUAUUCAUCAAAUUUAAAGUAAUAAUAAAUAUGUUGUUGAUGAUAAUAAAUUUUAAAAAGUAAUGAAAUGUUUAUAAAUUUUAUUUACAUAUAAAAUAAAUGGUUAGUAGAUAUAAAGGUUAGUGCUAAAAAAUGUAAUUUCAUCUCAUAAGAUGAAAUUAGCGUGAAAUCACAUGUCAAAAAGUUGAUCUUAUCUCACAAUUUUAUAUCGUGAUAUUAUAUCGCAUGAUUAAACGCCUACUAAGAUUCUCUUUAAAACGAUUGAAUGGGCGGGAGGAUCAACACAACUUGAAAAGUUAAAACAAGAAAUUCAAAUUUUUUUCUUUCUUGUCGACAUAAAUUAAUCGAAGGAUGAUUAUUGUAAUUUUUGGAUCAGUUAAAGGAAUGUUUAUUGGUUUACUAUGAUAAAACACACACAUAUAUUUAACGUAGGGCCAUAGUUCAAAUAUAUAAUUUUAGUCAAAAUUCAAAUGAAGAAAGCCAACAAAAAAUAGAAUUAAAAUCACUUCUCAUCUGGAAUAUUGGAUGUCUCAUUUUGUUACGUUUUUAUGUGGGUAAUAAUUGUCAAGAAGGAGAACAUAUAGGACAUACAUUUGAGGGAAAUUAUUGACAUAAAUUAACGCUCAUUAAAAAAAAAUCAAAAUCAACAAAUGUAUAAUAUUCAUUAUAUAUAUUGAGUACUAAUGAAUAUAAAUAUUUUUUUUAUAGUAAAAGGUCAUUUAGGUUAUCUAGAUUACGUAGUAAAAUUACCUUUUCUUUAAAAAAUUGUUUCAUGAAGUACUAAAUCAAAUUAAUGAGCAUGUUAUCAUACAUAAAGUCACACGACAAAACUACCUAAAAGUUAAUACAUGAAAAAGGCAAAUUCCAAUUUAGCUUAAAUUCCAUAAUUAGGAUUAGAUUCUUAAAGAAUCUGCUAUAGGAAUUGUUGAGUUUUAAAAAGGUGUGAAUGGAAAAAAUGAAGAGUUGCGAUUUUUAUGAAGAGUUGUAACUUUUAUGAAAUGUUGUGAUUUUUAUGAAAAAUUGUUACUUUUACGAAAAGUUGUGAUUUUUAUGAAAGGUGACGACCUUUCUGAAAGAUUGUGACUUUUUCCAAAGGUUUGUGACCUUUCCGGUAAGGCACAAUAAGAACUUUUUCGCACUACCCUUUGUUUUCUAUAAAUUGAAGGAUUUCCUCUCAUUUUAAUAUAGAAUUCAUGGACUUCUUCUUCAACUACUAAAUCUAGUAUUCUAAGUGUACUUUACUGUCGUUGAGUGGUUCGCUGACACCAGAGUUUUUGGUAUCUAUACUCUGGUGAUUGAGAUAAUUUUACCCUGGGAGGUCAUAUUCCAAAUCAAACCUCAGAUACUAGAGGGGAAUAAUUUCCUUAAGGGGACAUUGUGAAAUUGGUACGUGUUUUACAAAUUUUAGAUUUGUGAAUUAAUUUCAGUUCUUCUAUUCUUUUGUUCUUCACUGGUUCAUUAAACUUGAUAACUUCGUGUUUUUGCAAAGUUUGUUGGAAUUAGUAAGAUUCUUUAGACACAUAUUAACAACAAUUUUUCUUUAAGAAAAAUAUUUCGUAUAUUUUUAAAAAAAAAUAUUUUUGAUUUUAGUUUCUCUACUAGUUUUAAUUUUCUAGUUGUGAAAAUAUUCUUAAACUUUGUUGUCUUACAAAGAUGUUCAAAAUUUUGUUCUAAAUAUAUUUGAAACACAAGAUGAACAAAAGGAAUAACAAUCUAGAACUACAUAAUUAUUUCAAACAAUCAUCAUUUGUAACAUGUAUAUCUUCAUAGUGUUUAAAAUAAUGUAUAAAGAGUGUAUUAAUUUAAAUAUAAUUUACAUAAAUUUUAUAGCUUAAAGAGUUAAUUACAUGUAAUCUUUUUUAAAUUACUAAAAUUUUUAAAUUUUGAAUACAUCAUUAGAUUUCAAAUACACAAAAUUUUCAAAUACAUCACUGACAUCUUGAUACGUAAGUGAGGGAUGUAUUUGAGAGGAGAUGAAUGAAUCAGAGAGGGGAUAGAAUAAAUGGAUACAUUAGCAGCUAUUCGAAUACAUAUGUGAGGGAUGUAUCAGAGAAUGAAGAAUAUAUCCGAAAGGGUAUAAGAAUGUAUUAGUGAGAGGAAAAUGACGUAUUCAAAAGAGAUUUUUAAAAAAAAUAAUUAAAUGGUAGAAAAUUAUAAAAUUAUGAUAAAAUAAGGUAUAUACUUCGAUAAUUUUUCUUUAAUUUAAAUAUGUUAACUAUCAUAAGGGUUGUCAUUCCUUUUUUUGGCACAUGUAGUAGUCUCUCCAGUUCGAUUUGGGUUCUAUUGUGAUUGAAUAUAAAGUUUAGAAAUAAAUAAGAAUUUUGGUAUGUGAUCUUAGUAGUAAUAUAUUCAAUAAAAUCUUAUAAACGGAAUAUUGAGAGGGUUAAAGUGUAGCAUAUCUAAUCACUAUCUUGUGAAGAUAAAAAUGUUUCUAAAAGAUAUUUAACUAAAUAUAGUAAAUUCAAGUAAAAAGAAUAAGACAUGGAGAUAAAAAUGUUUCUGAAAGAUAUUUAACUGAAUAUAGUAAAUUAAAAUAGAAAGAAUAAGAUAGAAACUAGCAAGUGGAGCAAUGUAAAUCGUACUAAAAAGGAAUAAUAACACAAAAUUAUGUGAUAAUCAAAACACUAUAAAUAAUCGAAAAUAAAUUGAUAUCACUAGCAAAAAUACAAUAUAUAAUACAAUUAAAAUAACGAUAAACAUCAACAAAUUCAAAUCCUCAAAAAGCAAUAAUUUUAUAUUCUAGUACGCUUCUUUCACACCUUCCAAUCAAUGAAUAUGAUGUCCUCACACCUCUUCCCAAGGCCUAUUUAUUUUUAUUUUAACUCAAAGAAGGGAUGGUUUUUAGGGGGGGGUUAAGAAGCAUUAUUAAAAUAAUGAAAAUGUCAAUGGAACAAUCUAGAACAAUGAAGUGGAAGAUCCCAUGAUGAAGUGAAACUUCUCCUGAGCACUCAAAUAAAAUAGAGAAAAAAAAAGUUAAAAGAGGACGGUGCCUACUGAUAAAGUUGUCAUUAAAUUUAUCAUUCACCCUUGUUAAUAUAAUUAAAUUAAUGAAUUAUUUAUACGAAUGUGUCAAAUGGGAUAUCGUGGCUUCCUAUUAGCCGUCCACGUGUUACUCAAAUAUAAGAUGGUCUUUAUCAAUGGACUCUACACUCCAUAGGACCAAUCAAAGUCAAGUUAGCUAAGUUUUGAAAGGUUGGAAAAAUGACAAAAGGAGUAGGUAUUUUUGAGAUCAUUAGAAUGGGAUAUUCUUACUAGAGUAUAUCAUAGUAUGGAUCUUUAAAUGAAUCUCAAUAAAUUAGAAUGAUUAUUAAAAUAUGUUUUCAAUAUAGUUUAUUAUUAUUUCAUUGUUAAUCGUUAUCAUCAUUCACUAUUGAAAGUUAUUGUUACUUGUUGUCGCUCAUCAUAUUAAUUGUUAUUAACAAUUAUUAUCAUCAAUCACUAUUAGAGUCACCAAUUACAAUUCACUAUUAUCAUAAUCGAUCAUUACUAUGUGUCGCCAAUUGUUAUCACCAUCAUUAACUAUCGUUAUUAUUCACCAUAAUUAUUUUUGUUUAUCACGAACUAUUAUAAUCAACAAGCAUCAUUAAUUACUAUUGUCAAACACUUUUACCACUAGCUACUACCUAUGACGAUUAGUCGAUUACCAUCACCCAACAUGAUUCUCAUUUAAGAAGCAUAUAUAGAAACGGAUCCAACAUUUAAAAAUGAUCAGAUAACUACUGGGCUGUGACUACAACAUAUCAAGCCCAGAACGUGCUAGUCUGUUUGGGCUUGAACGAAAUCUCUGACACGGCAUCUUACAAGCCUAGCCCAAAUAGGAGACAGUUUUGAAAUUUCAGUUCUAAAAUGUGAUACAAUAACAGGAAAAUUACAUGUAUAAGUAGAUAUAUAUUAGUAAUUAAUUAAUAUAGCUAUAAUUUGAUUUGAUUAUAACUUUUGACUUAUUUUAUCUAUAAUUAUGCGGUCCAGAUUUUUAAUUUUGUAUAAUAAAUUAUAUUUGUAUAACUCGAAAUUUGUAUAACUUUGUAUAAUUCAGAAUUUGAAUAGUUAUGUACUUUUAUAAUAUUUGUAAUUGUAUAAAUUUGUUAUUUUGAGUUCAUAUAAAAAAUAAUUGAAUUAUAUAAAUGUACCCACGAAUAAUAUAAACCUGCGAAUCAUAUAAAUUUGCAAAUUAUAUAGACGAAAUAGUUUAAAGUAUUAUAGCUACAAUCUAUAAAUAUGCAAACUAUAAUUAUGGAGUAUAAUUAAGUUUAUUAUAAUACUAUUUGGAAAGUUCCCUAUAAUAAUGUGAGCCUUAAAUAAUGCGUUAAAAUGACUAAACUAACCCUAUAACUUUUUCUGUCUUGUUUAAAAAGUGAACAAAUAUAUGUAUACUAAUAUGCAAUAUGUCAAACCAAACCAAAACUAAUCUCAAUUAAUCCUUGUGAUAGUAAUCAUUACAUGAUUUUUGCAUAAUUAUAUAUAUCUAAUUAGAGUAUUAAAGACAAAAUAAUAAUGGGAUUAGAUAAAUCCAACAAGAGAUUACCUAAUUUAGCUGACGACAAACAUAAAACCUCUUUCAUAUUAGAAAUAUAAUAUCACUAUCUAAUAAGAUAAAUACUAAAAAUAUUCCACUUAUAAAUUUUUUAGUUAAGAUUUACGUCAAAAUUUAGGUAUGAUAGAAAAUUAUACUUAACUAAAUUUUCCUCAACAAUUUUAUCAUCAAUAAACUAAUAUUAUCCGUGCAAAUAACCUAAUUAAUAUCUCUCUCUAUAUAUAGGAUGUUUAAUAAAAUACUAAAUAUCACACAAUAAUAAUCUCUUACAAAAACAAAUUGUUUUUACCAAAAAUAUUACUCCACUUUUAUUAGGUGAAAAUGUAAUAUAUAGCUCUUUAUCUCUAAGUUAAGAAUUUAAAGUUAAUUAUGAAUUUCAAAAUAAUUGUCACGUAUUGCUUUUGAAGAGUCUAUUAAAUUAAAUUUGAUUAGAUUAAUAAAAUGUUUCGAAACCAAACUUUAAAUUUAAAAACUACAUAUAAAUGAUAAUUCUUCUCAUAUAUAAUCAAUACAGUGUGAAAAUACAUCAAAGAAUAUUCUUCAAAGUACAAUUAAAAGGAUAAAAGGAGUACAAUACUAUGUAUAUUUAUUUUAAACAAAAAUCAAGUAUAACAAUAAACUCUUAUUCAAUAUUCAUAAAUUUAAACUCCAACUUGUUAAUAUAUAAUUAACAAGUAAGAUUAUCCCCAGUAUCAACACCAAGUUGUUGACAAUAUUGAGUAUAAUACUCAACCCUUCUAGCAACAGUUUGUGGAUUACCACCAUCACAUUCAAUUUGUCCAUUAAUAGCUCUAAUUGUUGGGCCAAAUCCUUGUCCAGAAGUAAUUAAAGAAUGACAAUUGUUCAUCCAAUACCAUAAAGCUGUUUUAAAUGAAAUAACACCAUCUCUUCCUACUAUGUCUGGAUCAUUUAAUCCAUCAAAUCCAAUUGAUUGCCCUGCUGGACCAUAAUUAAAGUUCCAUGAUAGUUGAAUUGGUCCUCUACCAUAGUAGUUUUUCCCUGAGACACAAGGGUAAUCUGUGUUGUUCUCAUCACAAUAGUCUCCUGAUGGACCAUUUAUCUCAUUUAUGUAGCACAUGUCUGUUGUGUAAAGUCAAACAAACAAGGAAUUAGUUUGAUUAGUUGUAAAGUACUGACAAUCGAUGAAAAAAAAGUCUCAUAUUAGUGAUUAAUAAGAUUGGUGAUCUACUACGUACUCUGCUUAUGAGGUUAGGGAAAUCCUCCUCCCCAUUAGAGUUAGACUUUUUGGGGGGAUGAGUUAUGUCGAAGAUCUAAUUAAUUUCUGGAGGUUGAUUUUAUUUCAUUUUUCAUAAAAAAAAAUACGACCUUCGUGAGGUUGGUUUUUUUCAAGUUACGUAAUCUUAAAAUGCACCAAUUGGGGUUCGAACCUUUAUCUUUCGACAAGAGUUAGAUGCUUUAGAUGGUAAUCAAGCACCCAUAACCUUCAAAUCUAAGAUUGUGAAUUCGACUAAUAAAAAAAGUGGCAUCUCAUGAGGAAGGUAAACUAUUUCAAAAAAUAACUUCUACAACUAACUUCAAGACUAUGUUUGUCAUUUUCUUUUCAAAUAUAUAUUGAUAUUAAUAAACACUUUGGGAACAUAUAUAAGAAAAGAAUGUUAAUUGCCGCUAAACACACACAUAUAUAUAGCAGUAAUUAACUUUUAAUUGUCGCUAAUGACAUUUUUUAUGCGGUGGAUGGUCCAUAUUUUAUCUCUUUUUUUUUUUUUUGAAAAAAUUGAUUCAAUGCAAGAAAACCAAGAUCGAAUUGCAUUUUUACCAUUUUAACGCUUAAAAAGUGAUCCUUUUUAAACGAUACGAUAGACUAAAAUCAUAAGACCACUAAAGCAUCUGUUUUAACGAAAAAAUAAGUGUAAGCAAACUUACGUCCAGUUUCAUGUGUGACAUGAGCGAAGAAAGCAGCAAUUUCACGCUUAGAAUCAUCAGUAGAACCAACAGUUCCAAAAUUACUGUAAGAUUGAAGAGCUUCAAGAAAUCUCUCUCUUGUAUAAAACCCUUUUCCUUCACAACUAGAAGCACCUUGAUCAGCAAUUCCAUUAAAAAAUGCAUUAGUUACAACAUCAGAAACUAUAACUCCAUUAUUAUUAUUGCUUGGAGUAGUACUAAAACAAGGUCCCCCUUGACACCCUUCACCACAAUAAUCAUUUCCACUUCCACAAUAACCCCAUUUACUGCAACACAAAUCCGAUGAACAACCACAAUCUUGUGCCAAGACUAGUCUUGAUGCUAUAGACAAUGUGAAAAAUAGAAAGAAAAAUGCUUUUGAUGAAGAGAAGAAGUUCAUUUUUGUUGAGUUGUGUGGAAGGAAGUAUGGGGAGGGGGGAGUAUUUAUAGAUGUAUGGGAAAAUUGAAUAUUGUUAUGGAUUAAGCCACUAUUGUUGAAUUGUUCAAAUUUUUAAUAUUAGUGGACCAAACUUUUAUUCAUAUUGGUUGACUUUGACAUUUUUGAGCCAUUAUAACUCCCUCCCUUUCAUAUUCAUAUUAGUUGAUUAUUAGUUGCUCCCUCAAUUUUACUAAAAAUAAUCUAGUUUGACUUGAUAAAAAUUUAAGAAAAUAAAAUUUUUUUUGAUCAUGUGAUCAUAAAUUAAAAUUAUGUCAAAUGUAUAAAAUUAUUUUUUUAAUUUUGUGACUUUAAACAUAUCAGGUGUAAAAUUGUUACCAGAAAAAGAAAAAGAUCAUUCUAUUUUAAACAGACUAAAAAAGAAAGGAUGUCAUUCUUUUUAAAUGGGGUAAGUAUUUUAUUUUUCUAUAUAUUCUUGCAAUUUUUUAAAAUAGCUUUUAUAUUAUUUGUAAAAUUUCGAAUAAAUUUUGUUAAAGAAUGAAGUAAAAUUAUUUUUUAAAUUAUUUAUAAUUUCUUAAGUAUGGUGUAAAAUGAAAAAUAAAUUGAAAGGAAGGAGUAUGAUUUUGUCAAACGAAGAGAAAAAAGUCAUUUAUGUGCUAGCUAGCUAGAAGUAGUUUUUUUUUUUCCUUUUUUCUCAUUUUUCUUUCUGCUUCUAGAAUUGAGCUUACCAUGCAUGCACCAUACAAGUUGCAUAAAUUUGAGUCAAACAUAAAUAUAGAUUUAGCUGUGUAAUUAAAUUUAUAUAGGCAAACAUUUUGUUUGUAAUCAUUGUAAUUAUAUAAUGAUAAACAAGAUAGGUACUAAUUAUCAGAAUCGUGUAAUAUUAUCUCAAUAAUUAAUUAAUUUACGUCAAAUUGAAGAUCACAAUGCAAUAUGAUUUUCCAAAUAAAUGUGUGCUUAUAUAUUCUAGAAUCAUUGCUUUUAUUUAACUAUAAAUAUAAUUUGGAACCUUUUUUUUGUAUUUUAUUUAGUUAUAAAAGAUUAAGAUUACUAAAUGACAGAGAUUUUUUUAAAAAAAGAAACACUAUUUUGAUAAUGAAAGUUCACUAAAAUAUGUCUAGUCAUCCCGAUAUUGAUGGUUUGAAUUUACUUUUGGAAUUAAGUGUAUUAAAAAAGAUAAUAUAUAUAAAAAGUAAUACUUUAAUUGAUAGUAUGUAAUAAGAUAAUAAUUUUUUAAUAUUUCUUUUUUGUAUUGCUUAUUGACUCAUUCAUCGUUAACAUAAUUACAUAAAUGUAAUUUUAAUAAUAUUAGGUACAAUCAUUCACGGGUUUAUUAAUAGGACAAAUGUUAGUGGUAACGGAUAAUUAAGGACGUUCAUGUUAUAAUAUAAUAAUCAUUAAAAUAUGAAGGUUAUUAAUAAAGUUCUUAGCGAACUUUAAUUAAACUUAUAAGCUUAGUUUAUUAGGAUUUAAUUGAUUUAAUGGAUCGAUAUAAAAUAAAAAUAAAUUUUUUAUUAAUAUAGAUUGUAAAUAUGUGAUACAAUGAUGAAAUUGUUUCAUUAUAAAUAUAAUAAGAGAAAAAAAGAUUUAAUUCGAAUUUUAUCAUAGAAUAUCUCAAAAAAUUUUAUGUGAACCUUUUCGUGGAAUAGUUAAUGAGAUGUACAAUUUGGAUUGUAACAUUAUGAACACGUAGGAAAAGAACAUUUAUUUUUUCUUCAACCUAAAGAAAAUGUCAAACCCUUUGACUCAAUCUAUAUAACAAUAAAUAUACAAGAUUUUGUUAAUACCUUUCUCUUGUAAUGAUAUUUAACUUUUAUUUUAAUAUUAUCUAUUUGAUAAAAAAUUAUCAAUCAAACUAUUUUUUUAAUUAUAAUUUCAUCUUAUUUGUGUGUUUUGAAAUUGAUCUUGUACCUCUAUUGAUGGAAAUUUUGUAAAAUCAAAUUAUGUCUCGUAAAGCAUAACUUGUAUCUUACAAUUUUUUCUUUUGUAAGGCAUAAUUUGUAUCAAAUUAUGUCUCGUAAAGCAUAACUUGUAUCUUACAAUUUUUUUUUGUAAAGCAUAAUUUGUACCAAAUUAUGUCUCGUAAAGCAUAACUCGUACCUUACAAAUAUUUCUUUUUAAGGCAUAAUUUGUACCUUGUAAAUUUAUUUUGUCUCGUGAUUUUUAUUUUUAUUUUCAAUGUCACAAACAUUUUUGGCCACUUUUUUUAAACACUCUUUGAGUGAAGCAAAUUAUAAAUUAUAAAUUAAGGGGCAAAAAUUAAAAACUACAGGGGACAUGUUCUUUAUUUGGUUAAGUAGUCAUUGGUUUCUUAUAAAUUGUUGACAAAUUGAUAUCAUGUUUUUUAAUGCAAUUGUUAAAAUCAUUCUAUAUAGAUUUCGGUAAGGUAAGUGAAAUAAGUGAACUUAGCUUGGUGAAAGAGAUUUAGCCAAUGAAAUUGUUAAAAUCAUUCUAUAUUGAUAUGUUGACAUGAGAAUUGGAAGUAAAAGAAGAUUUUAUAGAAUUCUUAUUAUUUAAUUUGAUUUGUGGAUCGAAUCAAGUGGAAGAUUAAAUAUAACAUAUUUGUUUCAUGAUUAGCCUACUUGCACGGAGAGUAUCUUAGAUUUUGUUGAUAACAUCUUAAAUAAAUACAUCACAUAUUCUCAUCGAGUUAUAAGGAUAAUAAGGAAGUGAGCUUUGUAUCGUGAAAUUUUAGAUGACUAACCAACUAAGUCACACUAUAAUAUUUUAGCUCUUCAACGAUCCCUAAAAAUUGUGGCAUAAACCAUCAAAAGGUGCCGUCAUUGAUCAAAUGCCACAUUUUUAAAUUUUAGUCAACACUUUCAAGGGGUGAUAAAAAAAAAUAUAAUGUUUGAAAUGUCGUCAUUUUAGAUGUUACGCUUAAAAAGCAUGGCCUAUUAGAUGACAAAAAUUAUGCUUUUCAAAUCUUUGAAAACACGAAAAGAAACAUUGUUAAACUCUUUAUCAACAAUGAAAUACCAAAAGUUCUAUCCUUCCCUCUUCAAUGUAAAGGCAAAUGCCUUUGGCGUCAUUUUAAUUUUAGUAAAAAAUUAGGACUUCGAAAUCACUAAUCAAUAUGUUUUUCUCUCCAGCAUUUUUUUGCUUAUGGUUCAAUAUUCUGAUGUCUUAGGUGUAGAAAGAGCGCACCAAUCUAUUUUGAACAUAGUGGUUAAACUCUACUACACCGAAGCAACUGUAGGAGAGAUCCAACAACAAAAAAUAAAAAGCUUGACACCUCUCAUUGUUAUCAUUUUGAUAAAAUGAAUAAAAAAAAAAUAAAAAAAAUCAAAAGGCCUCUUUUUUCAAAACCCAAUUAUGACAUCCCUCAUCCCCUAUUUCAUGCUUUGGAACACAACCUUGUUAUAAACUUAUAGAGAUAUACAUACUUUUACAUCUUUGUAAUUUGGUAUGGCUUGGGAGAAGAUUUUUUUUUCAAGAGUACUACGAGAAUCAAAUCUAGUAAAGACAAAAUGAGAUCUUAUAGCUCAGAGAGUUAGAGCACGUGACUAACAAAUCAUUCAUAUCAGGAUUCAAAUCUUUCCUUACUCAUAAUCGAUUAAAAAAGAAAGUCCAUAAUACUUUUUUCGAUUUUUCAAAAGAUUUAAGGAGUAUAUUUUUUCCAAUAAAAUUAUGUUAUUAAUUUGAUGCAUUGUGCCCAUAAAAAAAAUACACAUUAAUUUAUCAUCAUUUUUCUAAAAUCAAGAUUUUAACCAAUAAGAUAACUAAAAUUACAUUUUAACAUGAGCCUAUGACUAUUCACAUGCUCUUUCACCUUCGCUUUCGGCAACCGCAACCGAGCAUUGAACUAUCAGAAGAAGCAAAAUUCAGGCGUAAACAAACAAAUAUGUUGAAUCCUCUCCGAUUAACUUAGACUUUCAUCAGAUUCAAACCAUGAAUCUCUUCUUCAUCUUUGCUCUUCUGUUUUCUUCUUUUUUCAAUCUCUCUGUUGCCAGAGGCGGCUCUCCCAGCUCCAUUAACGCUUCAGGUCACAUGAUCUAUUUAUAGAAAUAAAAAUUGAAUCUUUAGAGCUUUAAAUAUGUUUUUAUUUGUUAAUUUUAAGCUUAGCAAUAAUGGGUAUUGAUUAUUAUGUCCAAUUUUGAAGAAAAACAAGUAUAGUAGGUGUAAUCGCUUCAUUAAUUAAAGAGGGUAUGGAUUUCUAAUUAUUUAUUGUAAAAAAUUGAAACUUCUUUAAUUAAACGUGAUUUUGUUUUUAUAGGUGUUGUGAAUGGUAGCUUUGCAGCUUCAGCUAGGCAUUUGUUUGCAGAUAUAAAAGUUUCUCUUGCUGAACAAUUGCAAUUGAAAAGACUGUACGUUUAAACUCACCAUAUAUUUUGGUUAUUUCUCGUGAAGUGUCAAGGAAUAUCUGAACAAUCUGUUUCACUUUUGUAUUUGCAGUGAAGAAUUAGCUAAAGAUUAUAUGUCAAAUUCUGAUCUUGAGAAUGCCCUGAUGUCAUUGAAUAGUAGGUGCAGUGGGAUAUCUAGAGUGUACAGGUAACUUUAGGGGACCAAGAAUGUGUAUAGUCUUUAUUUUCAUCUUUAAAGCAUUUGGAGAUUCUUAUCCAUGUUCUUAAGGAAUGAAUGUAGUCAUGUUCAUUGUAAUAAAAUAAAUAAACGACUUAAUUAUGGGAUUGAUAGCUGAUUUGUAGGAUUUUACUUUUCAGUUUAUUCCUUAAUUUGGAUUUUAUGUACAUGUAUAUCAUCUUGUUACUUCAUGGAAUAAUAUAUAGAUUAUUCUCCCAUACUUUGUUCAUUAUGUGGUAUCUGAGCCAAGUCUUUCCAAGUUUAGGCCCCCAUGUUAUGUUGUCCAUGCUCCAGUUGACGGUUUGGGUGUGCCAGCUGUGGUAGAGUGGGUUAGAGUCACAUUGAUUGAGGAACGAACGGAUGUUCUUCUUAUAUGGAUUUGGCAAUUCUCUCCUCAAGAGAUAAGUUUUGGGAUUGAGUUAGAUUCAAGUGUCAUGUUUUACAUUAUAUCAGUGCCAAGUCCUUACAUGUUUGGGCUGCCCACAUUACACUACCCAUGCUUUAGUUGACGUUCUAUAAGUAAAAGGGAUGUUUGAGUGGGUUAGAGUUCCAUAUUGGUGGUGGUCUCCUUAUACAGUCUUGAACAAUCCUCCCCUCAAAGAACUAGCUUUUUAGGUUGAGUUUGGCCCGAGUAUCAUAUCUUGCAUGGUACAAGAGCCACGUCCUUUCCUGUUUGGGCCCCAUGUUAUGUUGUCUAUGCUUCAGUUGUCUGUCUAGGCAUCUAGGAGAGUGUUAGAGCGGGUUAGAGUCCCAAUUGGUUAGGGAAUAGACGGGUGGUCGGUCUCUUUGUAUGGACUUGGACAAUCUUUCCCUCAAGAGCUAGUUUGGAGGUUGAGUUAGGCACAAGUGCCAUAUUUCACCUAUGCCUUUCACUAUGUGUUUUGUCUUAAUAAACUUUCCUCGAAUACGACAUUGUUGCAAUGUAAAGUAAUGGUACUUGGAUGCCCAAAAUAAUGCCUUUAUUAUUCUGAAUGAUCUCUUGCAUUGGAUCUUCAUUUACCAUACCAUGUAAAAUGGCUGUACGGGUUAUUCAUGUGAAUUUCUUCAAGUACGAUAAAAAUAGCAAAAAAGUUGCACCAAAGGGCGUGACCUAGUGGUCAAUGAACUGUGAAGUAAGGAAGAGAACCAUGUCUUAGGUUUAAAACCUAGCAUUUACCAAAAACCCUAGGUGAUUUCUUCCCAUUUGCCUAAGCUAGUUACCUGGUACCUUUGUUGGUUACCUGGUACCUUUGUUGGUGGAGGUAACUGGUACCCGAUGGAUAGUCGAGGUGCGAGCAAACGCCUGGAAUCACCUUCAUCGAAAAAUGUUUGAUGCGUAUUCUGGUGUAACAUAGUUGUAUUGUUGCCAUCAGAUAAGAAUUGUUAUUUGUGGACGCUUUGAUGGAUAAUCUUUUCUGUCAUAGGUGGACUACAAUUCUCUGUAGAUUACUAAUUGCUAUAUACUUAUCUGGAGCCUCUGUUCUAAUGAUGCUGCUUUAACACCUAACUCAUGCUUCUUCUCUCUUUGAGGGGUUUUUGGAAUGUAUUAUCAGCAUUGGAAAGAGUGUGCAGGGAGUUCCAUUGGUAAUGCUUUUUCGUCCUGUUUCUUAAAUUUAUAUUCAACAUAUUCCUUUUCUACUUGUUCUUGCUCCAAAGUUGAGAAAUACCUUUAGUAUCAAUGACUGAGUUGGCAUUGCUUACAGUGGGUGAUGGAAAUUUCUGACAAACCAGGCAAGGAAGAGGCUGAGCCUGCCUUUAAGGUAUUGAUAUCUGCAAUAAUUAUAUUCCUGAUUGUCAUAUGUCAUAAAUGAAAUUGAAUAUUCUGAGGUAAGAUAUUGUUUGUGCUGAUAUAGAGUUAGAAGAAAUCUAUUUCCAGUUUGUUCUAGCUUUGCUUACUGAGAAGCGUUGAACUGGUGAAAGCUUGUGAAUCCAUUUCUUACUUGUUGUGAUGAAUGAUGAUAAUUGUUAAGUUCCCCAAAUUGGUAAAGGAAAACGGGUCGUUGUUUUUCUUUUAUGUUCUUGCGCAAUCCUCAUCUCACGAGCUAGCUUUGGAGGAGAGAGUGUUCAGUGUCUCACUUUGGUGGGCAGAAAUGGGUUGUCGUCUUUGUAUUUGUUUUGGACAAUCUUCACGUUAUGAGCUGGCUUUUGAUAUUGAGUUAGACCCUAGGUUAGUUUUCUUAUCAAUAAUGAAGUUUUAGCUGGUGAAUUUAGCUUGCAGUCUUGGCUCCUCUUCCUGCUUCUUGAGCUAAAAGUGCCUUGUGCCUAAACAAAUAAGAUUCCGCGAAGAAAGAAGUGCAAAAGCUUUGUACUCCCUCCGUCCCUCCCAAUUUAUGUGACACUCUUUCCUUUUCAGCCCCAAAAAGAAUGACACCUUUUUAUAUUUAGUAUCAAUUUGUCAAAAACUUCUCAUUUUAUCCUUAAUGAGAUGAUUUAGAUCCACACAAAUAUCUAUAGUUUGUUUUAGACUACAAGUGUCAACAGUCUUCCUUUAGUUCGUAAACUCCGUGCCUAGUCCAACACCUUCACAUGUAUUGGGGCAGAGGGAGUAGAUUUUUUUGGUAAAAGCUUAAGGUGGCAUGCUGUCAGGCUUCAUGUAGAUUCUGAUAUCUUCCAUUUUCUCUGAUAUAUUAGAGCUGAGUAGUACAUAUCUUGAAAAGUUAUCACCAGCGGUAAUCGUUUUAACCGUUUUAUUUAGUUAUGAAGAAAUUGAAAGGGAUAUGCCUUAGUUUGAGGUUUGACAUUUGUAUUACUUACCAGAAAAAAGGUCAAGGAUAUAACUUUGGAUGUGCUGAAGUAAGAUUGGUCAACGGACCGGAACCGGGUCACCGGAUCGGAAUGAACCGGUACCGGACCGGACCGGAAUCCGUUGACCGGAAUUUUGACCGGUACCGGGAUGAACCGGACCGGAAUUACCGGGAUGGUUCAUCGGUUCCGUCCCGUUCCACUAUAUACCGGGACGGAACCGGAACGGACCGGGAUGGAACGGGACGGAAUUAACGGGACGAUAUUUUUUAAAUUACGAAAAUAUAAUUUUUUUUUAUUUUUUAAGUAUAAAUUAAUAGUUUUUAAAUUUAUACUAUAAUUUUUAACUUAAGUUUAUUUUAAAGAUAUUUUAUUAAUUUUUUUUAUUAUUGUUAAGUUUGCAAGUAAUCUAAUAAAGUUUUCAAAAUUUAAAUCUUUUGAAGUUUAUACUUUAUAAGUUAUUACUUAUAUUUAUUAAUAUUUAUUUUAUAAGUUAUAUUUAUAACUUGUAUCUUGUAAAUAUUAAAUAAAUAAAAUUUGUAAUUUUAAAAAAGUAAAUUAAAUUACAAAAAUUAAAAAAUAUCAAUUUAAUUUAUUUAAAUUUGUAACAAAUUACAAUUUCAAUGGGCGGGAUUUUUGAAAAAAAUUUAAAUUUUAAAAUAUAAUUUAUAAAAAAUAUAAAUAUAAAUUAUAUAAAAUAUAAAAUAUAAAAAAAUUAAUAUAUAUUAAAUAAACCGGACCAGAACCGGAACGGACCGGACCGGAACCGGAAUGAACCGGUACCGGUACACCGGUACGAAACUACGGUUCCGUCCCGUUCCGUGUACCGGUUUAGAAUAUCCCGGCCCGUCCCGUAGGCAACCGAAACGGGACGAACCGGAACGGUACCGGUACGUCCCGUUCCGUUGCCCAGUCUUAUGCUGAACUAGGGUAUCCUUACAAUUCGUUGCUGCUUAUAUUUUCUGCUAGUUCGAGACCUAAUGAUUCAUGUUGAACUGCUGAAACUCAGAGGUGGAAGAAAUUCCUCACGUACUUCACCAAACAAAUAAAGAAACAAUAGCAAAAGAGGCGUAAAGUAGGGGAUACUGAAGCUUUAUUUCUUUUUCCCAUGGCUUAUCAUAAAAAGAAAGAAAACUGGGAGAGAGAAUUAUAAAGGUGCAGCAAUAUUUGGUGGAAAUGGGAAGAGAAAGAUGGAAUUCUGGCCAGUCAUUUUACUAUUUUGUCUGGCUGACUGAAUAAAGUCAGAAAAAAAGCACCCGAUCUGCAACUUUUAUGAUUUCUCAGCUUACAUUACUAUCGAUAUAUUGCUUUGAUUGAAGAUGUUGGAACUUAUUUUAUGCAUGAGCUAUAGCUGUUCCUGUGCUGUGAAUAUUAAUUUUUCUUUUCUCCUCUCUUUCACCAUCUUCUUAUGUAAUGAAAUUAAAUAUUUGCAGUAUCCGUUUCAAAGUUCUAGGAGCAAUUAUAUUUGGUGAUAAAUUACUGAACAGGCUUUGUAUUGCAGUACAUUGGCAAUGUUCAUGGGGAUGAACCUGUAGGUCGCGAGCUUCUAAUUCUUCUGGCGAACUGGCUUUGUGAUAAUUAUAUGAAGGAUCCCUUGGUAAUUGACUUCUCUGGCUAAAUACUUCCGCUUUAGAAGUUCAUAUGUUUUUUAAUUAGAUUCUGGACUUGUGUUUCCCCUCUUUGUUGUUGAUGAACAAUUCACCAUGAUAUACCUGAUACAUGUAUAAUAUCAGAAAAAAUGGAUACAAAUUUUUGACUGCUACUUAGUAUUGGCUGUAGGUCUGAAAAGUAUCUAAAAAUAUCGGGAAAUGCAGAAAAUUUAUGUUUUUAUUCUUGAAAAUCUUGGUAAACAGCCUCUACCUUUAAAGGUACGGAUAAGGUCUGCACACACUCUAUAGUACCCUCUCCAGGCCCCACUUGUGGAAUUACACUGGGUAUGUUGUUGUUGUAAAAUUUAGGAAAUUUCUUUGGUGAAAAGAUGUCAGUCUGCAUACACUGUAUAGUACCCUCCCCAGAUCCCACUUGUGGGAUUACACUGGGUAUGUUGUUGUAAAAUCUUAGGAAAUUUCUUUGGUGAAAAGAUGUCAAGUAAUAAAGCAUCCGAAGAGUCUUUCUAGAAGUCCAUCUUUACAAAGUAUUUGAAUAUCUAAGGUUGAAAUGAACAAAGAGAAAGGAAGUUCCAGAUGUUCAUUGUGUUCCUUGGCUAAUACUGAAGCAUUGAUUAUCAAGCAACCGAUUCACUUGCCAUUAAUCAAAAUUACUGCCCCCUCUUUCCCAAAAUUCAAAAGUAGAUCCCCGUUCUUGGAGGCAUUCUAUGCAAUCAAAACUGAUUCUACCUAUUACAAAUUCCCUUUAACACCAUAAGUCCAAAAAUUGCAGCUUGACUUUACCUUUUGAGUAGCAUUGGAUUUGUCCUCAAAGCAGCUUGAAUUUCUUUGCAUCCACACUUGUCCACCAAGUACAGACAGGAAUUCUAUUCAAGAAGCUACUUAUUCCUUUAUCCAGCUCUGCUCUAUUCCACAAUAUACAUCUCGAAAGAUCAGUUGUAGUUCCUGGUCUAAUCCAUUGAACCCCACAAGUAUCAAGAAAAGUUUUCCAAAAUGGUCUGUAAUGGGGCGAUGCAAGACUGAAGGACUGAUGCUCUCUGGUUGACCUCAACUAGUUUAGGGCCGGCAACAUAGGGUAGGAAUACAAAGAUUGCAGGGUUAUUCUGAUAUACCUCAUUAUCUGUGUUUCCCUUUUACUUAUUCCUUUUACAUAUUACUAAUUGAAUAUCAUAAGGUGCUUUAUGCAUAGUUACUUGUUAGUUGAGAAAUAUGUCUCUUUGAGUUUUAUGCUAUUGCUUCCUUAAUAAUAUUAUUUUAUUGUCUCAGAUACUCAUCUUGCUAUUCCAUGUUGUCUUAGACAAAUUGUGUUAUUGGGUGAAAUAAUACUUCUUUUUGAACUAUCUUGGUUCUUAAUAAACUUUUUCCUUGUCCUAGGAUGAUGCAGAAAAGGUGUUAUUAUUUUUUUCUUUUCAGUCUCAAAACUCACUUUCUAGGUUGGCUUUACAGGCUACCCUGAUUGUAGAUAAUGUUCAUCUUCACAUACUCCCAUCUAUGAAUCCAGAUGGGUUUUCAUUGAGGAGGCGUGGAAAUGCAAACAAUAUUGAUUUGAACCGAGACUUUCCUGACCAGGUAUCUCUUGGCAUCCUGUACUAUUGAAUAUUCUGUUAUCUUUAAGUUUGAUCUGAAUGUUUUUACGGAAAGCAAAUUUGGAGUUUAUUUUUAUUCCCAACUCGCACAUUGUGAAGAAACUACAUGGGGACCCUUAUCAUAUAAUCAGUUACACCUCAACCUCAGAGUAGUUGGUGUCAGCUUGAUGAAUCAUCAUUCCUACAGUUAUAACUAAAAAUAUCAUCCCAAAAAUCUGUGAAUAAUUCAGGCUUUAAGUCUAAAGAACCAGAACAAACAGGAAACUAGUCAAGAACAAAGCACUUAUACUCAUCCCUGACUUGUUUUUCCAUGAUGUUGAUAAAAUGAAGAGUUUAGAAGCUCAUGAUGAAAAAGGAACGGAACAAGUUCAAAAGGAGUUCUUCAACUAUUAGGAGUUUACUGAUUAACUUAACAAAAUUAAUGAUGAACUAGAACAUUCAAAGAAAGGGACUUGGAGUCACAGCAGCAUGAUCGAUUCUCUGGUGUAGUGAAAAAUCGUCAGAUGUAUGAGCUUCAUGAUGUAAAUUAGACUUAUCAUAUGUCAAGGGAGAGGAGCACGAUCAUCAUUAGUGCCACUGCACUAGUAUUAGAUUCUUAUUUGGCUUCAAGCAUAAAUUAACUGGAAGCUUAACAAAGGCAAAAGUGAGUAGGAUCAUUGCAAUUUCUAACACUAAGAAAGUCUAAAGAUGUUCUUAGAGGAUAAUUUGCACUGGUUAGUGGUUAAACUGGUAUAAUCUUUGACAAUUUUGACACACGUUCCUUAUAAAAUAAAAAUAAUGUAGGCUGUAGCCUGUAUUCAUCAAAAGGAAAUGUAGGUUAUAAUCUUAUCGUCUAAUAACUUAUCCCAGAUAAAAGAAAGAGUAAUAUCUCGAUUAUUGACAUUAUUUAGCAAUCAGUAAGCACUUUUAUCUUUAUCAUUACUUAGUGCCAUAAAUUUUUUCCAUAUAAACUAUAGAAUUCGUUGUCUUGUCCUGUUUCUUGUUGAAAAGGCAAAGAAAGGGGAGCGGUUGCUGAUUCACAUCCUUUGGUGAAGUCCAGAAAAUGUUGCUUCAAGUAUUCUCUCAGCAUUCUUUUUAGUAACAUGAGUUCCAAUUUGUGGUUCAGAUUUCCUUUUAUUGAUUUUCUCCAUAUGCUUUAUUGUGAGACUUUGGAAGUUGGCCUUUGAGAUCCAAUUCAACUUAAAAUGUAGAUCGCAUGUCCUUUAAGUUUCUUACAUGUACCUUUAAAUUGAAAUUAAAAGCUUGUUGGGAUUAUGUUGACUUCAAUGGGCUACUCUUUGUUUUGUCAAAAACCCACUUCUUAUUGAAAUGCUGCUCUUGUUUUGUAUUUGGAUCUUAUCCUCUCUUCUGUGUAUACUAAUAAUAAUACCAAGGAUUAACUGCUAUGAGAUGACAUAGUUCUUUCACAUGAAUGAUGAUCCUGGUGCACAUCAACCUGAAACAAAAGCCAUCAUGCGUUGGUUGGAUGAGAUACGCUUCACAGCAUCUGCUAGUUUGCACGGGGUAAACAUUCAGAUACUCUUUAAUCUAAUUAUGCAUUGCGUUAGAAUGUCCUUGCUCUUUUGUUUAUAUCAUAGUUAAGUAAGAGUAAUGUGGCUUUUGCACGUGUAGCGAAGUAAAUUAUUUUAAUUACUAAUCUUUUCAUGUGUCACUUUGCUACAUUUUGGUGGUUGUGGUGACUGUUUAACUUAUGGUCAUUUCUUUUUGUCUGCUGAAUGAUGUUUGAAGUUGAAGUUUUCACUUUCAUAUAAAGCACAAGUAGUCAUGAUUAUCCUUGUUCCACCUAUGCAGCUUCAGAUGGCAGAGUUAAUGGAUUAGUUCAAAUAAUGAAGCUUCAGUUGAUAAGUAGUUUGUAAUUUAUAAUUAUUUUUGGAGCAUAGGGAAUUUCAAAAUGGAUGAUGAUAUAGGUGUCGAGAGAAACUUUUAGAUCAGACGAAAAUCUGUCAUAAUACUUUAUAAAGGAAAAGUGAAGAAAAUUUGUGAUAAUAAAUCAUCUUACUAUAUAAGGGAACUGCUUGUCCUGUCCUUUACAAUCUUGUUUUUUCUUUAGCGAUAAUAGAGUUUGUUCUUUUUUCCUCAUUGCUUCAUUAAUAUGAAGAUGUUGGAGAGCUGACCUCGGGAGUUAAUAAUAUUGUUUAAUUUCAACAGGGAGCACUUGUAGCAAAUUAUCCAUGGGAUGGAACAGAGAACAAAAAGUGAGUCUCUGAUAACAGUUUGUUGUCCUUCAAAUUUUAAGUAUUUAGACAAGAGGCUCAAUUUUUGUUUAGAGGACCAUGCUUUAGUUAUUUGGUUUGCUUUCGUAUUUAUUGACAUCCCGAGUCUCUAGUUGUCUUCAGAUAAUUUCUAAAUUUUCUUGCCAACCCUAAUUUUUACUGAUAAUUUUCAAAACAUAUGUACACAUCAUUUUCAGAAAAUAUUAUUAUGGCUGUCCAGAUGAUGAAACAUUCAAAUACAUGGCUACCAUCUACAGUCGUUCCCAUCAUAACAUGUCUCUAAGUGAGGAAUUUCCAGGAGGAAUUACAAAUGGUGCAUAUUGGUAAAUAAUGUAGAUAAUCCAAUUAAGUUUUAUCAUGUUAACAUUUUAGGUUUAGGACUUCUUUGAGGCUUUAUUCUUUUCUGCUGCUUCUGCUGUUGCUUACAAACCAUAGUUUCUUUUGUUUCUUCCUGCAGGUAUCCAAUCUAUGGAGGCAUGCAAGACUGGAAUUACUUACAUGCUGGUUGUUUUGAACUUACUCUAGAGAUUAGUGAUGAUAAAUGGCCUAAUGCGAGUGAGGUUAGAUCUCAGUUUGCAUCAAUAUAACUUUAAGUGGAUGAAAAUGCAUGACUUUUGAAGAGUCUUCCGCAUCCAUAUACAUGAUUUAUUUUCGGAAUCAAUCCUCUUCAAUGAAGCAUCUGUGUAUUUGGCAAUAGCCUCCUCCUCAAUUCUGAUCAUGUGAUUUUGCAAUUAUUAGUUGGAUAAUUUGAUGGAAAACCUUUUCUGCGUUAACUUCUGUCGGUUAUUGCUUGAGCAUAUAUGUAGAUGGUGAAUAUGGUAAUCUCUAACUAAUCAAAUUACUUCUUCUAUUUAUAUCACAAAAUGAGAAGUAUUUUAGUAUGACAGCAUGUUAGGUGGGGACAAAAUGAGCCUUACCUCUGGCUUUGGGGUUUAAAUUAGUGUACCGUGUAACUGGGAACUUCUAGUGAGAUGGCUUGCUUUUGUCUGAUCAGAAAAGAGAAAGACACUUUGGUGAAUAAGAGUAUAGUUUCUUAGUGGAGUACCGUUUGGGUGAUAUCCUUACCUGAGUUCUCUUCAUACUUCAUACUCUGUUCUGCAUGGCGUCUACAAUGCCAUACCUGUCUAAAGCCAAGUAUUCGUUUAUUUGCAGCUUCCUACUCUUUUUGAGUACAACAAGAUGAGUAUGCUAAAUCUUGUCGCAAGCCUUGUGAAGGUAACUUCAUCUCAUCUAUCAUUUUGCUCUUCUUUCUCUUUGAUCUACUUUUCUUUACUUAGAUCAACUAUAAUCUCUAUCAUCAUCAUAAUACUACUACUGCUACUACUUUUGUUUGAGCAAAGUUACUAAGGUAAGAGUAUUCCAACAGAGGUUGUCCCAUGUGGAGUCUAAAAUGUGCUGGAGAAUUUCAACUUUAAAAAUAUUUAAGUGGGUGCCUUGGUACCUUUCUUUAUUUGAUAAUGAAGUAGGUGCCUUGGUAGUUCUAGUGACAUUUUGGUAAAAAGUAUUGAAAAGUGAGGAGACAUCAUUUCUUUUUUAAAAAAUGGAGACCAUCUUAAAGAAUGAAGCAAGACAGGAAACUAGAAAAGGACGAGGUUCUUUAAAUAUAUUGAGAUUUUUAUUAUGUUGAUUGCUAGUAGAGAUAUUUGAGAUUAUUUGUUUCAUUAACUUCCCAGACCCCAUUUACGGGAUCACAAUGGGUAUUUUGUUGUUUAUUUGACUUAGCUGUGUCCAGUGUUAUCGAAGGCGAAAAGCGCAAAAAAGCUCUAAGGUCUAUCGGGGCAUUAUGCGCAAACAAAGCGUGGACUUUAAUGAAAAAGGCGCAAAGGGAGGAAAAAAUAUGAAUAUAUGUUUAGUCCAAGACUAUUAAUUAUAAACAUAAAUGACAAAUAUAUGACCAAUGAAGUUGAAUUUUUUUAAUUAUAAAGUGAAAUGUCAAUUGUUUAAUGUCAAUUCUUCAUAAGAGGCUCAUUGGCAAAAAAAGUUUGUCGUAGAACCUUGAUGAUGACACUGAAGUGCACAUAAAGCGAGCGAAGCAAGCGAAGCGUUCAACACGUUUCGAGCCUCGCUUCAGGGCUUAAGCGCGCUUAAAACGCACCUCUGAUAACACUGGCUGUGUGCCAUCAUGUCACAUUCGUUAAGUAGAAUUUGGAUGGGUUUGACUUUGAUACCAUGUAAAGUAAUGAACCUUGGGGCUAAUUCAAUCCCAAAAGUUAGCUCAUAAGUUGAGCAUUGCCUAAGACCAAAUAACGAAGUCGAUCCCACAUCCCACAACUAAUGUGGGACAACACCCACAAAACAUGAUAUCUAUCGCAAAUGUACCCAAGAAUUGUAAGAGUCUGUUCUGGCUGGUCAAAUUGGCAUUCUUUCUUUCUGAUUGAUUUCUUUUUCAGAUGUAUGCUUCACAUUAAACUCACUUGAUUUAAUCUAAUAUAGACAGGAAUACACGGAAGGAUAUUCUCAUCAGAUGAGGGCAAGCCUUUACCUGCCUCGAUAGCUAUAAAAGGCUUAAAUUCUACGGUGCGUUUUCAUUUUCAAAUCCUUUUAGUCAUUGUUUAAAGUUGUGAGAUAUAUUCUCAAUUUGAUGUGAUAUCACCAUGUGGUACUGAUAGAAUUGUGUGUUGAUAUCAAUAUCAGGAACUUCAUCUUUAGAGUAUUUCUCAAACUCAUCUAGGCCCUCGUAAUUACUUCAGCUCUAUUCAUUUAGAUUAUAUUGCAAAAGUAAUAUUGCAGGUUCAUCUUAUUUUAUUCUGCGGAAACCCAAUUUUCCUGUUGCCUGUAGUUUCUGUUUUGUUUGUUGUUUGGUUCUUUCUGUUUUUUCUUUAAUCCUUCUCUAUUUCCUCUUUUUGGUGGUUUCUUUUUUCUGCUUUUCUCCUUUGUUAUUGGGUUUGGGAAUAACAGGAAGUUGAAGGCAUCAAGGGGGAACUCCAAACUCCUUUAUUUGGAGUUUGGCCAUUUUUUCCUUUAGAGCUAACUUUCAACAUACUGGCUAUAUUUAUUCCAUGUCAUGUGUGACUCCAUCUUUGGUCUAGUUUGAAAUCUGGCAUUGAAUGGGACUUGUGAUGGACAAUUCAUAUUUCUACGACAAUUAUCUUUCUGUUCCUGCCAUUUUCUUCAGAUACAUGCAAGGGAAACGUUAGCCGAUUACCACCGCUUGCUGGUGCCUGAUAGAAAAUAUGAAGGUAACCACAUAUUAAAGCAAUAAAACUUUUUUUUUUUUAACUUAUCAAAUGGGAAAAUAAUACCCUUCUCUUUCUCAUAAAUAGGAUAAGAAAUUAAAACAAAUUGUUACUGUUCUUUUUGAAGAAGUAUAAAAGAGCUCAGAGUGAAGCCAAGCCCGCCUUUUUGCAAAACCUGAGCCCUAGACGGCUCUUCCCCAAAGCUAGACAUGUGAGAAAGGGAGAAUGAAAUGGAUGCACUAUCAUAAAUAAUAUAGAAAAGGGUGGUAAAAAUCUGGCUAAAUAGAUUAAUGAUGAUACUCAACAAGCUUUGACAUAAAAUAGUACGAUUAAAAGAGGGAGACAUUAUUUUGAUCAAUUGCUCAACUCGUAUCAUGGAUGCCUUCGCAGAUCUCCAUACAUACGUGCAAAGCUUAUACCUUAGGUAUACUUGUAAAAUUAAGUGUGGAGCAGUAAAAUUAUUUCCAUGAAAAAAAGAUAGUUAUAUUAACUAGUGGUCUAAAUGGAAUAUCUGUAGAGGUCUUAAAUAGCCAGUCGAUGUUUGUACAUUUGCAUCAGGUCGAUAUUUCGGCUGAGUUUUUCUUAGGUCCACUUAGAGAUUGUAUAUAAGUAUAUGGAUAUGCUUAAGAUUUAGAGAACUACCGGCUGAGUCUUUCUUAGGUUCACUUAGAGAUUGUAUAUAAGUACAGGGAUAUGCUUGAGAUUUAGAGAACUUCUAACUUCUCCUAAAGAAGAUAAAUUAUCUGGUAUUGGAGGGAGGCGGGUGAACAUUCAGUGUGAAAUUAGCUCGGUAUAACACUCAGCCAUCCGCGAUUCUUUUGCAAUUUAUAUUUGCAUAACACUUCAUUCUUUUGAGUGGAUUAAUCCUGAAACCUCAAUUUGCAGUGAUCGCGACAAUGCCAGGAUACAAGCCGAGGAGUACGAGCAUUAUGUUGGGGGAAGAAGCAAUGACAGUGGAUUUUGUUAUGGAUCCAGUUAUCACUCCCAUAAACAGCUUUUUGCGAAGGGGAUGGAGUUGCAGCUUGCCAGGUCCUCAUUUAGAAGUUUUUUUGAUUUUGGUUUUGGUAUUAGUUUCAGUAUUCCUUUGCUUUUUAUUAAAGAGGAGAGUAGUUUUAAACUAUCCAAAACAGAGACAGACAAAAAGGUCUGUUAUUGGGGUAUGAAGUUUAACACACGUUUUCGCGUUACGAUAUUUGUUAGACUGGAAAAUUAUAUAUUUAUGAUACUAAUAGUUAAAAAGAUGAUCAUCAUUUUCCUAUAGUUUGUUACUUGUGAUUUAUCAUCGCUUUCUACUAAAGAUGACUUCAUUCAGCGAGACCUUUGCUUAAGCUUGGCUCCUCUUUAGUGGUGUCUCCUCCAUUACUGGUUUUUCUGUGAUAUUAUAACAAUCAGAAGGCAAGAAUAAUAAGGUUACUUCUGUUACUACUGGAAAAUUAAGAGUUGUUCUAUAAGACGGUCAUUCAGCUACUGUCUAUUGAUAAUAACUAUUAGUUGACUAACAAUGGUUAGUGUUGUAGUGAUAAGUACUCCUUCAUCCUUAAUCAGAAGUCUUGGGUUCGUGUGCCCCCGGAUAUGGAAUCCGGUUUGUUAGGAGCGAUUUACCCUUCGAUAUGGGACCUUUUGACGCGAAUCUAAAUUUAGUCGGACUCCAAUAAAUAUAACGAGCAUUUCUUAAUGAGCACAUAGGAAAACAAUACCACUUUUGUAUUCCUGAUUGUACGUAUUACUGGAAUAUGUCCUGAGUAUCCUGUGUUUAUAAUACAAGUUACCUUUUCUAAAAAAAAUGAGACAAAUUAGUGGGAAACAACAAAAUCAACGGUUAGUUGAGUGACAAUAUGAAAAUCAACUCGAAAAGUUCAAAAAAAUGAGACAAAUUAGUAAAACCAAUAGGAGUAUUUGAUUCAAUUUUUUUUGUGUGGGUGGGUGGGGGUGGGGUUCCUUGUUUAGUUAGAUUAACAGUAGUUAGAAACAAAAGGAAAAAGAAUUGAUAAAACUAAUUGCACCUCAUUUAUAGUAAGAUUGUUUAUACAGUUAGGCUCUAAUAUGAUAUUAUUGAACACAUUAAAAAGAAAAAGAAUUGUUUAUGUAGUAGUUAUGUCUAUUUUAGCAACACGUUUAAUAACUUCCUAAUUAAUAUUAGUUAUACCAUUUAAUUAAUAGAGUAGUUAUUAUGUUCCUAAUCAACGUGGAUUGAUUACUAAUUAAUCCACAUAGCUUAUUACUUAUUUUAAGUCCACAGAAUCUGUAUAAUCGAGAUCUUCACUCAAAAGUCUAACUUGAUGGCCCAAAUGACAUUAAAUGCUGCCAAACACUUUUGUGUACUAUUUUUUGUCUUCUGUUUGACAUUUUAAACAUGCAUAAGCAUGGGGUGUUCUCAUAUAAUUGCCUCAAAAACACACCGACCCAUUCGUGCUAAAUGGACGGAUUGAGCUGAAUUUAGAUGGAUGAAAAGUGAUUUGGACUUGUAGGUUAAAAAUUAGUUAGAAUCAUUUCGUUUAAUUCUUAUUAAGUUGAAAUUGCUUUAUUUAUUCUAUUAUAUUUUUCUUAUUAUCAUAAAAAUGUAUAAUAUGUCAAUUAAAAAUUAAAUUUGUAGCUUCUUGGCCAUAGCAACAGAGGAAAUAUUACAACAAAAAUAAUUUUUACCGUUAUUAAAUAUUGUUACUAAUUAAAAAGUAUUUUUUAGCGAUAUUAUAUAUUAAUAAAAAAUAUUAAAAUCUUUAUCGAUAUCAGUUAAAUGUCAUUAGAAUUUAUGUCGUUAAAGGUUUUAGGGACAUGUAAAUAAUAAUAAUCAUUGCUAAAAUAUAUAUUUAGCAACAAUUUAAAAUUAAUUACUACUAAUGAUAUUUUUUUAAGUAGCUAUAAGGCGUCUAACAAAUUGGGAUGCCUUUUGGUUGCUCCCAAAUGGUCAAGAGUCAUGAUUCUAUUCAAAUAACUUGAGAGAAUAAGUACCAUUUGAAGAAAAAAAGUGUCUUUUUAUAAUUGCUUAAAGUAAGUUUUUUUAAUUUUAUUUUUGGGUACAUAAUUGUUAAAGUAACUUUUGUAAUUUUAUAUUAUCAAAAUGAAUUUCUUUUUAUCUAUUUAAGAGUAACAAGUUGGAACGUAUCCAUUUAUUAUGACAUUACAUGACAAUUUGGUAACAACUAUUGAGAUUCACACGACUUUUAGUUUGUCCAAUUUCAUUUCAGAUAUGAAAUUUUUAAAAAAUCGUAAUAGCUCAGUUAGAUAACUACAUAAGCUUUCAUAUUAUUGAUGACAACUUAAUUCUCCCCGUAAUUUUCUUCCCCAAUCUAAAAGUGUUAACACUUUGAAAUAUGUCUUUUAUUUGCACUAAUCCUUAACCAUGAUAAUAAUGAUUACUAAUAUAUAUUAUGUUAAUUUAAUACUCAAUCAUGAUACAUUAAUUAAUAUGAUUAGGUAUAAAUAUUUGAUGGGGCUAAAUUUUUCCAUAAAGAAAUAGUCCCUUUUUGAAGAACAAGUCAUAAAGUGAAUACCACAUAGUUUGAAAAAUGAAUAGUUCUACAUCAUCAAUGACUUUCACCCUAAAAAAAUCAAUUAUCAUAUAAUCAAGUGACAAAAAUAUAAGUUUGACAAAAUGUACACCAUCCCUUUAUAACGACCUUAUAAUUAUGGCAUUAAUAUUCACUCCGUUUCAAAUAAAUGAUAAUUUAUAUAUUAAAAAGAAAUCGAUUUAAUUCUUUCAAAUUACCUAAAUCAUAAUAUAAACGGAGUUUUACACCAUAAAGAAUCACUUCAAACAUCAAAAUAUUUUUAAAAAGAUAAAUUAGUAAGUAAUAUCUUAAAGAAUAUAAUGUGAUUAAACUAAAUCUAUCAUUUAUUUUGAAACGGAGAAUAUAAUAUAUUAUCUUUUGUCUUUUAUUUGGAAUCUUCUUUUGAAAGCAAAUAAUGGUUGUCAGUGAACAUGACAAGAAUAAGAAUAAAUUAAAAAAUUGAGGACUAUAUGAUAGUUGAUUUUCCCAAUUUAUGGCAUCAAUCUUUUUUUAGUCAAUCAAAUUUUAUACUUUUUGCAUCUCUUGUUAAGAGAAAAAGACUAUUAUAAUUUAGUAAUUUAUGGGCUCCACUUUUGGUGUUGGUAGGUCUUAUUGUAUCAGUCAGUAUCAAUUCAUAUCAUGUAUAGUAUAUUGUAUUUAUGUUUACAUCUAAAACAAAAUAAAAAAAUCAACAUAUUUUUAUUUUAAAAUAUUAAAUAUAUUAAAGUUUAUGCAAAAUAUUUAAUGGUGGAGUAAAUGGCACGUAGUUAGAUUCAAGAACAGUUAAAAUAGAACAAGUACACCUUUCUAUACUAAUCUUUGUUCCUAUUUUAUAUUCCUGUCCCAAAAAUAUUUAUUAUUCUCAUUAAAAAAGUAUUUCAUUUGUUUAAUAAUAUUUAUUUAUCAUUAAUUUUAUACAUUUUUUUAAAAAACAAUAAAUAGAAGAGUAAUUUAUUAUAUCACUUUUUAAAUAUGAAGAAAUAAUUAAUAAAUAUAAUGUCUUAAAAAAUAUAAUUGAAAAAUGACUAUAUAAAUUAAUAAUAAGGAUAAUUAGUUGGACAUUCCAAAAUAGUAUAGUAGAUAAGUAUUGUUGGACGAGGAAAUACUUGUUCACUAAGCAAAGAGUUGAUUAUGUUUAUAGAAUUAUCCUAAUCGAAAUUUAAAAUCACUUUACUACUUACUUUUAAUUGAUAAUAAUAUUUCGAAUAAAACUCAAUAAGAAUAAUGUUAUCAAAUAGUUAUCAAAUAAGAAAAUCUGAUAUUUUGAAACAGAUUAGAAAGAGAAGUGAGUAUUGAAUUAUGAUUAAGAGCCUAUGUAUGUCUCAAAAUACUUGUCAUUUUAAAACUUCAAAGACAAAAUUUUAUUUUUUUCAUUUUACCUUCACUUGCAAUUAUUUUUGAAGACAACAAAUAACUUAAUUUAGAAUAAAAUAUUCAAUAAAGAAAAUUGCAUCUUAUAGCAUAAAAACAGAUAAAUAGUUAAAAUUCCUCCUAAUAAUUAUUUUCUUAAGAACGCGUAAAUAAAAAAAUAUGAUAAGUAUUUUGACAUAAAGAGAAUAUUUGUGAAAAAUAUUUGCUAUAAACAUAAAAAAUAAUUGAAUAAUAAUUUUCAGAUUAGUGUGUAUUCAAAUUACAGUAACACCUCUAUAAAUUAAUAUACGUGGAAUCAUGAAAUUUUAUUAUUUUAUAGAGAUAUUAUUUAAUUGAUAAAUUAAUAUUUACUAAUUUAAAGAAUAAUUUGAGAUUUGAUGAAGGUUAAUUUUGAUUAUCUCAAGCAUUGUAUCGUACUAAUUUAUGUAUCAUAUUUAUCGAUUUCACACACAAAAAAAUAUCAUACAUAAAGUACAACAAUACAUCAAAAUUAUUGUAUCUUGUUAAUUUCAACGUUGUGAUAAUAAGAGCUUUCAAGAUGUAUAUCGAACAUAAUUUAUCGUAGGAUAUUAGAAGGCUAUGGAGUGGGACAAAAUGAUCCGACAAAGAUCUAUGUUUUGGGUGCUAUCAAUUAUGCAAAUCCUAUUUGAACAACAAAUGUUCUGGAAGAGACAAUAGAAAAUUAUUUUCUACACGGUAAAGAUCGUUCUGGAAAUGCAAUCUCAGAGAAUUUGAAUGAAUCUGCUUGUGAAAAUGUCAUACAUGAACUUGAUGUCAUGAUAAAUAAUCUCAUUACCAUAGUAAAAUGGAUGUCAAUAACAUGUUGGAUUAUCCGAGUGAAAGAGAUACUUUUUCAGAGAUCUAGAGUUUAUAAGAAAUUAUUGAUACCAUAAAAAAAAGCAAUGUUGAUGAUGAAGUUGAAGAUGAUAUAACCAUUGGAACCAGAUACGCGUAAGGAAACACUUAUCGCAUCUAGAACUCUUCACAAUUUUAUGAUGCUGUUCGAAAAGACAACAUCAGAGCUCUUGGAUGCAAUAAGAAAAGUUAGAGAUAAGCUUCAACUUUAUUUAAAUUUUAAGAAAAAACAGAACUCAAUAUAAUCAUAUUUCACUAAAUUUUCUUAGAUAUAUUUAUACUUUAAAGAAUAAUUAUUUUAUGAUAUUAAUGGGACCAUAUAUUUAUAUAUGAGUCUUCUGAAAAUAUAUUUUCUUAUUAUCUUAUUGAAAUUGGUGAUUUUUCCAUUGGCUCAAGUCAAGACCAAAAAAAAUAUUAUUUUACAAAGAUUAUUAAUUUAUCGAGUAUUAAUUUAUAGAGGUUUUACUGUACAUGCUCCUACAUCCUAAGUAUUACCUAAGAAUAUUGGAAAACGCUGAGUGAACACUAAAUUCCUACUCUCAUCAUACCAUUAUUAUUGUUAUUAUUGUUCAAUAAUGAUAGUUCAUUAUUAACUAAAAUGGUAAAUGAUGUGGAUAAUUUUAACAUUAAAUCACUCGUAUUAUUAAAUAUAAGUAUCUAGAUAUUUAAGAAUGAAGAAUAUUUAAUAAUAACAAUAAAAUAUAUAAAAUAAUAAAUCAUUCAUUAAUUUUAAACUGAACAACUUAGAUAUCUAUCAAAAUAGUAAUGCGAACAAAUUAGUAAAAGCUUAUUUGAAAGAAAAGGCCAUGAGAGGAUCAAUUAAAUGAUUUUCUAAAAUAAAAUACGAAAAUAAGAGAGAGAAAAAAUAACAUAAAAAAUGAAAUAUUAAGUGAUUGAAUCCUCACCAAUUGAUUUUUUUUUUAAAUAAUCAACUAAAUAAACUUUCUUGAUUUUUCAAAGUAAGAAGAAUCAAAUAUGUUAAAAGUCUUUAUUAUUUUACCAAGUCAAAAACAAUAUACAUUGUGUCCUUGUGGAUAAGAUCGAAUUUCAUAAAGUGAUAAAAUUUACAAAUAAAGAAACUUAAUAAAUACUGCAGAGCCCCCUUACAAUAAAUAUGAAUACAAAUAUAUUUACGUAUUCUUUUCUUUUUUAUUUUCAAUAAAAUAAUAGAUAAUAUUACGUGGAUUAUUUUUAGUAUUAUCUAUUGAAAGGACAUUUUUCAUGUAUUUGGAUAUUUUAUACAAUUCUUGAUUGUCGAUAUUGACAUGCUAAAGCUAUACAAAUUUUAAAUACCGACAUAUAUAUUAUUAAACAAAAGUUAAUACUGUAAUUUAUAUAAAAAUUACUUUUUUUUGUUUAUCAUAUUUUCAAAUUAAUUUUUUAUAAAAAAGACACGUGUCGCUAUCUCAACGGUUGGAUGAUAAAGUUUCCGUACUUUUUAGUCGUUAGUCGUUUUUCCUAUUUCCAUUUUGAGUCGUUAGUCGUUUAUUUCAACUACUUACCCUUUUUUCGCGGCGACUUUGAAUUUUGCGGUUGCCACGUGGCGACUUCCUAUUGGUAUCCUGACUUUUAAAAUCGUGUGCCGUCCAAAUCCAAAAAGUCCAAUUAUUUUACAUACUAAUUUUUUAUUUUUUAUUCAAUAUUUUUAGAAAAUAUUUUUUUUGAAGUUUUAAAUUAACAACAGCUAGUUGAGAUUGUCAGUCAACUCAUUGUUGUUUGAUUAACUUAUCAUUUCUUUUAGAGGUUAAAAAUAAGAACUCAAAUUAUCUUUUGGUUGUAAUAUGAGAGAGUUAAUUGUGAUAAUAAUUUUGACUUUUAUGUUUUAAGUCGAGUAUUUAUUAAAAAUAAUUUUUUAAUUCAUAAAUAAAGGAGUAAUAUCUGUUGAUAUUGUAUUCUUUUCAAAUUUCACUAGUAGAACUAUACUGAUUUUUUUAUUGUAAUAACAUUUUGAAAAAGACUAGAGAAUAAGUGGACAAAUUAAAUACAAUUUCAUUAGCAAGCAACUAUUUUAUGUAUAAUGAUAAAAAAGUAUAAUUAAGUAGAAAAUAUUAUUUUUAUAUAUCUUUUUUUUUGGUUACAUGAUUAACUCGAUAUUAAAUGAAACGAUCUAAAUAAUGAUUAAAAAAAUAUAAUAAAGUAAAAAAUAUUAUUUUUAUAUAUUUUUUUUGUUUACAUGAUUAACUCGAUAUUAAAUGAAACAAUCCAAAUAAAGCGGAAGGAAUAUAAAAGAUUCAUAUAGUCAACUCUUGUUUUAAUAGCAAUCAAAUACAUUUUCGGAAAAAUGAUAAUUUGAGCUACUUCAUAUUGUAGAAUCAAAUUAUCAAAUCUCAAAUACUUGUCAAUAAUAUUAUUUAUUAUCACAAAUAAAUAUUUUAUCAUGAAUCGAGAUAUGCACAAGCUGACUCACUCAUCUAGGAAAAAAAAAUUCCAUUAAGUCAAAGUUGGAAAACAAAAAAUCUUUAGUUUUAACUUAUUUUUUUUUGACAUUCUUUAGUUCCCUUGCUAUUUUAUUGAAAAUAAUAAUAAUUAGUAUAUAUUAUAAAAAGUGGAUUCUUGGUCUAUAUGGUUGUCACAAUACACGGAGACAAUUUCUCUAUAUAUACAUAUACAUAGAGCGGUUGCCUAAAUGUCAUAUAGUUUUCUUCUCUCUGUAAAUCACUCUGUAUAUUUUUUUAGAACCUGUAAGGUUUUAUUUCUUAGCUCCCCCUAAAUCUGUAAGUUCUUUGUUUCUUCAUGCAAAUCCCUUUAUGGGGUUCUUAAAUUUAUGUUCUUUUUCAUGUUUAUUGCUAUUCUGCAUCUGGGGUUUGUUUAAUUCUGUCAAAAUCUCUACUUUCUUGAACAGAUCAUGUGUUUGACUUGGGAAAGAUUGCAACUUUGUUGAAAUUUUUGUGUUAAGAGUUUUGGAUACUUGAUGUUAAUACUGGGAAAUUUUGUUACUUUCUUGAAUUCUUUGUGUUGGGAUUUUGGAUACUUGUGACUUAACUGGGAAAGUUUGUGACUUUUUUUUGAAUUUUUUGUGUUAGGAUUUUAGAUACUUGGUGACAAGACUGGGAAAGUUUGUGACCUUUUGGAAUUUUUGUGUUGAGUUUUUUGAUACUUGAUGACAAGACUGGGAAAGUUUGUUACUUUCUUGAAUUUUGUGUUGGGAUUUUGGAUACGUGGUGUUAAUACUGGGAAAGUUUGUGUCUUUCUUUUAUUUUUAUGUUGGGUUUUUGGAUGCUCGGUGACAAGGCUGGGAAAGUUUGUGAUCUUUUUGGAUUUUUUGUGUUGAAUUUAUGGAUAUUUGAUGAGAAGGCUUUCUGAUUUUGAUUUUUUUGCAGGUGAAGCUUUUUCUCUUGUUGUUUUUCUUUCUGUGAUGGCGGUGAAGACUAAUGGAGUUGUUGAUGGUAUUUUGCCGGAGGAAUUGAUGAAAUUGCUCAUGUCAUUAGCUACAAAAUGGGGGGAUGUGUUGGAUCUAAAGAACUUGAAAGUUCAUCAUUUGAGUGGUGCUAUGACUAAUGAGGUUUAUAGGAUAAGUUGGCCUACUAAGAACGAAAACGUCCCGAGGAGAGUUUUGGUUCGAAUGUAUGGUGAAGGAGUAGAUCGUUUUUUUAAUAGGGAUGAAGAGAUUAGAACUUUCGAAUGCUUGUCAAAGAAGGGUCAAGGACCUAAGCUUCUUGGUCAAUUUGCAAAUGGUAGAGUUGAGGAGUUCAUUCAUGCAAGGGUAUGUCAAAUUUCUGACUCGAUUUGUUGAUUUCUUUACUUUUAUCUAUUGGAUAUAUGUGGCUUUGUAGAUUUAUGUUACUAUGAAGUCAAUGAUUUGAGUACCACGAAAUGAGAUUUCUAGGAGUUUCUGUAUGUUGAUCAAAUGAUCAGGACUUUAUAAUUUCAUUGUUUGUUGUGGAUAUCGAUAAAUUGAUCGGCGUAUAUAGAGGGUCAAUGGUAGUGUGUUGAGUAUAAUGAACUAUGUGUUUUAGACGAAUCCUCUGCAGUCUGCCUUUCCCUUCUAAGCCUAGGUAGCUCAAUGACUUGUCUUUAGUGAAAGCUAUUAGAUGCAGAUUUUGCACAAUGCAUAGCUUCUGUUCUUUUGAAUAGAUGGUGGAUCUUUGAAAUAAGACUAAAUCAAUUUGACGCACUCCUAUUGAAUAAACCGAACAGCAGGUGGUGCUCCUUGCCUUCACAAUUCAGCAGAAUAAAAUUGUGUUGUAUAGUCUUUGACCAUGUCUUGUUGAAGCAAAGUUGGAGAUCUUUGUGAUGUUUAUUGAUUGCUGUUUGACUUUGUUCUGUCUGUCUUAUUUGCAUUCUCAGACACUGUCUGCUGAAGAUCUUCGUGACUCGGAGAUCUCUUCUUUGAUAGCUGCAAAACUGAGGGAGUUUCAUAACCUUGACAUGCCUGGUUCAAGGAAUGUUCUUCUAUGGGACCGUCUCAGGUAUCAAUUAACCAGCUGGAACAUAGUUUGAUCUUUUGUAAUUGAAAGUCUGAUACAAAUUGUUAAUGCAAAAUGGCAGAAAGUGGCUAAAUGAGGCGAAGGGUCUGUGCUCCCCUGAACAUCUAAAGGAGUUCUCUUUAGGUAAUCUGGACGAGGAGAUCAGCUUAUUGGAGAAAGAACUGCCAACAGAGUCUCAAAACAUUGCCUUUUGUCACAAUGACAUGCAGUAUGGUAACAUAAUGAUUGACGACAAAACAAAGGCUGUUACUAUCAUUGUAAGUGUUGUAUGAUAUCAGUCAGAACUUUAUACAGCUUCUGUGUGAAGGCGCAUACUUGCUCAAACUUACAAAUACUCUGAUCUGUUUUCUUGAGGUGGAACCGGGUCUUCUUCCUAGAGAUAAUAGGCUCAGGAUGUAAUUACUUGUGAAAAUCUUUUUCAUAUUAUCGUGCUGUAGUUUAACUGGUGUUCUAAGAUAUCUGAGCAAGUUUUAAACUGCGUCCUUAAUCAGGAAUUGGAUAUAUUUUGCUUCCUUUGUGAACUUCUUGUCUUGUUGGCCUUUGAUUUGAUCACUGGCUUUUAAUAUAUCAGUCAUUGCACAUUAUUUACUAUUUGAUUGUAUUGCAGGACUAUGAGUAUGGCGGUUAUAAUCCAAUUGCUUAUGACUUUGCGAACCACUUCUGUGAAAUGACUGCAAAUUAUCAUACUGAUACCCCUCAUAUCAUGCACUUCAACACUUACCCUGGUAAUUAAAUAUAAGCUGCAACAAGAGAACACAGAGAUCAUGCUUGUUUGCUACUCUAAUGUCCCUACUCUAACCCUGACAUGCGCGGUUUAUUUACUCUUUUUUGAAUUUUGAAUUUCCGACAGAUUUUGAGGAGCGACAGCGAUUUGUACGUGCAUAUCUCAGUUCAUCAGGUAAGCUUGAAAAGUUUGAACAUCUUUUACUGUUGUCUGCACCUCUCUGUCCAAAGCAUACGGUUGAUUUCUUGCACACGAUAAAUAAGUUCUGACCCUUCGAGACCACAUAACAUUUAUCGUUCAAUUUGGAUAGGCAUCGAAUAAUAAGAUAAUUGACCUUUAAGGCAGCAGAAAGAUCAGUUUUAUUUGGUGAUGGGACCAAGAUGCCAAGACUUUAAUUACUUCAGAUAUUUAGAACCUGAUUCUCAACUAACUUGGAAUUGAAAAAUAGUACUAGUCGUUGUUAUUUGUAGGACCCGAUGUAUUAAUGAAUUGUCCUGAUAGCCUCAACUAAAACCAAACAUGUUCCCUUGUCCAAUUAAUAUGGUCAAUGAUAAACAGACCUAAGAUUUAAGCAGUCGUUGUGUGUCUGCUUUGUGCACCGACACAGCAGAAUUAUCUUAUUGAGCUUUGAAUCCCAUUGACAAGUGCAGGCAAUCAACCAAGUGAUGAGGAAGUAAAGAAACUUGUUGACGAAUCAGAGAAAUAUACGCUUGCAAAUCACUUGUUCUGGGGAUUGUGGGGAGUCAUCUCGGUAUGCCUUUUACACACUUCCUCUCUUUAUCACUACAUUUCACCGUGCAUUUUUCUCUUUCUGUGUUAUAAUUGUUGUUUCUUCUGACAGGCAUAUGUUAACAAUAUCGAGUUUGACUACAUGGAGUACGCGAGGGGAAGGUUCAAGCAGUACUGGUUGAGAAAGCCCGAACUCUUAGGUGCCUCAGACGACUUGUUACAUGUUGAUGAUUCAGCUGAACCAGUUCACAUUCUCCGCUCAAAAGAUUUAUGUUAAAACAUGUACAUUAACAAUGUAGAAUGUAAAAGUCAUGAUAAAUCGAUAAGCCUAUGUCGUAUAAUGAGUGGAGCAUUUAGAGUCUUCAAUGUUUCAUAGAAUAUGUUUAUAGGCCAUUAUUGAGGUUUUUUUUUUUUUUUUGAAGUAUUUUGAUGUACUGUUUAUAAGAGUGAGUGUUGUUGAACCACAAAUAUAUAUUAUCCAGUUUAAUAAAAUCAAAGUUAUUUUCUCAAGCUGUUGCUUUCACUUUUCAUCUCUAUUUUUUUUAACCUUCAUUUGUUACCAGGAUAAUACUGAUCAAGUUGGAAUAGAACCUUUAAAUUUGAUGUUUACAUGUAUGAAUAUGGCAAUGUCAGAUUAUACACCAAAACAACUCAAUUUACUUAAAAGAACUUGUUUUCCCUACUUCCACCGAGGAAGUUGUAUUCUCAUUUUAAGGAAUUUGUUUUGUAUGAAAAAUGUUUUGUCCAUCCAAACAUGAGCGGAUAAGAAAAUAAUUUUCAAAAAAUAUUUUCCUUCCUAGCAAAAACGUUGAUUAUAGAAUGUUUGGAGAAUAUUCUCUUGUAAAACAAGUUCCACAAAAAUGAAAAAAAUGACUUCUCACCCCACCCUCGGAGCCCCACUACCUUCCAUUCAGCUUCAUAAAUCAUAAUGUUGAAAAUGACUUCUCACCUCACCCUCGAAGCCCCACUACCGAUUCCUUUCGGCUUCAAAAUGUUUUGCUAGAUAACAUAUGAAUACUCUUUGAAAAUUAUUAUUAUUUUCCCGCAAAAAAAUUUGCACCAGCCGGGAAUCGAACCCGGGUCUGUACCGUGGCAGGGUACUAUUCUACCACUAGACCACUGGUGCUUGAUGAAAAAAUAUAUGUAAUUAUUUAUUAUUAAUAUUCCCUGAAAUUGAUACCAUCAACUUAUACAUGUAAUUAUUUAUGUGAAGGUUACUCGUUAACAAUUCUAUAAAAAAAUUUACAUCCACUGAUCAGAAUUUAUUGAAAAUGGACAAAUAUGUUUAAUUUUCUCUCGUAAAUAUGUGUUUAUACUUUGAUAAAAGUGUAUGGUUAAAUCAUUAGGAAUCAUAAGAUUGAAAUCAAAUCAAAUCAGGGAAAUGUCGACAAUAAAUUGAAUUGAAUUUUUUAGCUUUUAAUUUAAAUUUUGUAUUUAUUCUAAAAAUCUAUUGAAUAUAAAAUAAUUAUUAAUAACUUAAAAUUCAGAACUCAUAAAAUUCAUAUCUUAAUUCCACUUUUGAACAAAACAUUCAAAUUUCAAAAUAUCUCGACACAUGAAAACAAGAAUUUGAGAAGCUUCAAAGGGCAUGGACAUACAUAUGAACAUUGUUCAAUUGAACCCAACCACCAUUCAAUAAAUAAUGACUUCGAUUGAUACUAGCAUGUUCCUUUUUAAUUGUUAUAGGUUGGUAUUUUAACUAAUAUUUAUAUUAAUAUAAAAAAAUUAAAAUUUAUAGUACUUUUGGAAUAGUUUUGGAUAUCUAAGUUUUUUAUUUGAAAUAUGAAAUUAAUGUAAUAUAGUGUAACUUUAAAAUUAGUUACAUUGACUUUUAAAAAAUGUAAUAUGAUAAUUAAAAGUGGACAGAGAGCGUAAUAAAUAAGUAAUUUAGAAAAUGUACUACAACACUAAUAUAUUUAGACUUCAAUGUAAUAUCAGAUGUGGGAUCUAAAAAGUGUGAUGCAUAAAAAAAAAUUGAGAAUCUAUUAUUACUCUAAUUACUAUGGGGAAAUUAAGUGUAUAAGAAAACAUAUACUAGUUAGUUAGUUAACAUAGUUAUAAUAUUUCAUAAUUAUAAUUCUCGAUCUAUUUUUUGGCUAUAAUUACGUGGCUUGGCUUUUUAAUUUUGUAUAAUUCGCACGUUUUUAUACUGCAAAAUUUGCAUAAUAUAAUUUAUAUUACUUUUGUAUAAUUCGGAAUUUGUAUAACUGUUAACACUUCUUAUAUUAAUAAUUAUAUAAAAAUUUUGUUUUGAAUUUAUGCAAAAAAAAUAACUGAAACAUAGAAAUGUAUUUGCGAAUUAUAUAAACGUGUGAAUUAUACAAAUCUAUGAAUUGUACAAACAAAACAAUUUAAGUUGUAUUACAACUCGUAAAUAUGCAAAUUAUAAGUAUAGAACAUAUUAAAUUAUUUAUAUUGAUUAUUUGCGGAAGUUCCCUGUUAAUAUUUGGGAAUACCUAUAAUAGUCUUCUGUUUACAAACUUUUGAAUUUUUUUCCAUGGGAAUUUUGCCCAAAAUACAUCUCUAACUUCUAAAAUAUUCUUACUUUAGAUUUAAAAAAAUGAAAAAGAAAAAUCUUUCAAUUGAAUUAAUAUUAUUCAAAGUUCAAACGCCUAUUAUUGAACUCGAAAUGCUUGCAACUAAAGAGAGUAAAAAAACACUGGUGAAGUCAAUUUUCCAAAAAGAGGAUUUAUUAUGAAAUUUUACUUUAUUUUAAAGCACCGACCAGCAGAAUAAAUUCUCAAAUUUUAGCUCUUUUAUAUAGUCUUACUUAUUUUAUUAUAUAUAUUAUGUCUACGUCCCCAAAAAAAAAAUCCACCGGUAAAAAAAUAGUACUAGUAAUAAAACCUUUUGUCUUCUUUUUCAGAUUAUUAUUUUUUCUUUUUGUAAUUGUUUUUCUUCUGUGAACCAAACAAUAGUAAAAGUAAAAAAAAGAAAGAUUUGAUUCUUAGAUUUCUAUCAUUGUUUCUUAGUAUCAAUAUCUUAUAUCUUGUUGUUUAUGUUUGGUGUUAUUGUUUUUCUUUUAACGUAAAUAAUUUCUCUAAUAAUUUCUUUAACGUAAAAUAUUGGAAUAUGCAUGAAACGUGAGGAAAAAAAUUGAAUUCUUUUUGCACCAAUCGGAUCGUAAACAACCUCUUUAAGAUAUUGGAAUUUGCAUGGAAAUGUGAGGGAAAAGAUAUUGGAAAAAGGAAUUUUGUACUAACCGAUAAUUGUAAACAAACUUUUAUUUUAUCUUAUUUUUUUGUCGUAAAAUAUUGAAAAAUAUAUAUACAUGAAAUAUGAGAGGAAAAUCAGGAUCGUAAAAUAUUGGAAUAUGCAUGAAAUGCGAUGGAAAAAACAGGAAAAAAACUUGCACCAGCCGGGAAUCGAACCCGGGUCUGUACCGUGGCAGGGUACUAUUCUACCACUAGACCACUGGUGCCUCAUGCAAAAUCCUUCUAGAAGAUUUAUUAUAUCUAAAUUCAUCUUUCUUCUAUUUUUUGGUAUAACAAUGAAAGAUUUUUUCCGUUUGACCAUCAAGUAUUCGAUAUCCACUAUACAGUUGGAAGUGCACCGGAUUAGAGAUACGAAGUACCUCGACUAUAUCUUUUUCAUUUAGACUCGAGAUAUAUAUCUAAUUAAAGUGAAUGAAUCUUAUCUAUAUCAUUAUAUAUUUCUUCGUGCCAUCACAGGAUACCAAGUUGAAACUACAUGAGAACUAUAUCGAAUAAGGUUACCCAUUAGUAACUAUCUGUCACGACUUUGUAAAUAUUUAUGGAGUAUUGUUAACCAAUCACCAAAAAUUCAUAAGUUUUGAAGCGCUUGAUAUGAAUUUUUGAAGCGCUUGAUUUAGAUUGUGUGCAGAGGCGGAUCCACACGGCUCAGUAAGGGUGCACAUACACCCAUUGAUUAAAAAAAAAAUCAUGUAUAUAUAUGUAUAUUUAUCUUAAAAAACUAGCAAAAUGUAGGAUAUACUUAACAAGGAAAUAUCCUUGUACAAUUGGUGUAAGCUAGUGAUGUCACUCGAAAAGACCUAGGUUCGAGCGCAUGCAGCUAUUAUCUAUUUCAUAUUCUCUUAUUUUGAGUUUAACUUAAAGCUUAUAUUGGUGUACCUAAAGUCGUCAAAACCUGAGCUGAUUGUGUGAGUUUUUUACUCUUCCUACACAUUAAUUAAUUACUUACCAAACCUUGGACAUCCACAUUUUAAAAUGGUUAAAAAGUAGAAGAAAGAAAAACUCUUCUUUAAAAUGUAUAUGUAAAUUAUGAGUCUUAUUACUUAUGUGCUAAGUUUGAAAGAUCAAAAGCACCUCUCAACUUUUUUAUUCUUCCAAUGACCUUGCUUGCCAUAAAGCUUUUGUUCGUACUAUUUGUCUAUUCAUCAUCAAGAAGGCACCAAUAAAAGACCAGAGGAAAAGUUCCUUGUUUCCUUUGUCUUUUCUCUAACUUCUCGCUCGCAAAAAUCGUAAAAUGUAUAAGAAUAGUAUUAAAGUUUGGUGUAUUAUUUUAUAAAUAUGUUGAGAUUAGUUGUACUAUGACUAUCUUUUGUUCAUUAUUUUGUUUGAUGUAUUGUGGGUAUACAGUUCAUCUUUUACUCAUGCUUAUUCAUAUAUAAUUAAUUAAUAGGUGACAACGUAUUGCUAAUAUCAUGAUUUGUUAUGUAUUGCUUCUUCAAUUUUUUUUAGUUGUCAUGUUAUUCGAUGUUUUAUAUUAAAAACUUAGAUAUUUAAAAAAUACUAUAAAAUUACAACUAUAAAAUUUGAUUUUUUAUUUAUCAAUAUGAUAAAAAGAUAUUUCGUAAAAUAUUAAUCAAAGUUCUUAUUAUUUGACUCUAAAAAGAAAAACACAACAACUUAAAAGAAACGAAGGAAGGAGUUAUAACUUAAACUGUAAAUCCUAUAAUAAAAGAGGAAUAUAUUUAGGGGUGUACAAAAUUGAACCGAGAAUCGAACCAAACUAUAAAUCGAGUCAAACUGAAAAAAAAACGACUAGUAAUUUGGUGUUGAAAAAAAAUUCGACUAUAUUUAUGCUGGGUUGGUUUCAACUAAAAAAAUCAACCCGAGACCAAACCAACCCGAUAUUAUAUAUAUAAUUUUAAAAUUUUAUUUUAUACGUAAAAAUACCUAUUUUGAUAUAAUCUUUACAUAUCUCUUAUACUUUUUCAUAGUUUUUAUCUUUUAAUAUAUUUAUUUCAUGUUUGGAAGUUAGAAUUCUUAAUGAUCUAAUAAAGAUUAUAGUUCAUAAUACAUGUUGGUAAUUAUAAUAAAGUUUAAAUAAAAAUCAAAUUAAUAUAAUGCAAAAAAAAAUCAAUUCAACACUAAGAAUGAAAAUAAUAUUGAAUAUUUGUUUUUUAGUUUUACAUAGAGUUAGACAAUUAAAAUACAUGAUUCAAUUUUACUUUCUUUUAAUAUUUAGUCAUGUAACUAAUACUUGCUAAACUUAUUUUAGCAUAAUUUAGUACUUUAAAUUAUGAUCAAUUUCAUUAUGACUUAUUGAUUUGCAAUAUCUUUAACACGAUUUUAUUAUUAUUAUUAUUAUUUUGGAUCAUUAAUUAUAUAAUAUUUUUUGUUAUUUUUUUGAGAAAUAACUUAGACAGUUGCAUUUUGAUAGGACUAAAGAAAUAUUUGAUGUACAAAUAAAUUAUACGUUUGUAUGAAUACUUUAUCGAAAAAUCCAAAAAAACCCGAAAAAACUCAAAGUUGAAAAAUCCGAAUUUUAUUUAUUUGGUUUGGUUUAUAAAUUCAAAAAUCCGACCCAAAUAAUUUUGUUUGAUAUUUAAAAAAUUCGAACCAACCCGAUCAUGUACACCCCUAAAUACAUUCAUUGGAAAAUAAAGCCUAUACAGGUUGUAGGUUUUUUAUAAGCUUUUACAAUCAAAUCUUAAAGUAAUAUUCUCAGCCACUUUAAGGUACAAUAAUUUGUCUUACUAUUGAAGAGACUAAGCAACAUCCUUUACUUUUUACUACAUAAUUUUAUAUCCCAUGGAAUCAAAUUCACCUGAAGGAGUCUUUUGGUAUAUGCAGAUUAAGUUAUAUUAAAUCGGAUAUAAUAAGGUGAAAAUCUAUGACAUCAAGCUUGAGAUAAAAUUUAUAUAAUGUUUGAUUGGCCAUUUAUAUCGUCAACUAAAUGUAUAAAUACCAUCUUAAGUUUAGUCUUGAGAUAUCUCAUUUGUACUCGCAUUGGAGUACAUGAGCUAAUUCGGCCUCACUUCAGGCAAUGCUUUCAUACUCAAAGCUCGAACUCGAUACAUCUGAGAUUAAGAGAGCAGUCCCAUGUAACUGCACGACAUAGACACUCAACUUCAUCAACUAUAGUAGAAAAAAAAAAAGAAAAUUAUGCCCCUUUUAAGUUCUUUAUAUACUUGAGCUUCACCACAAACAUUUUCACCUCUCAAAGAAACCUUAAGAACCAUUUUUUCCUACUUACUAGAGUAUCAAGAAAGUAUGGCUUACCAAAACAUCAAUGGUUGCAUUUCUGAUUCAAUUGAAAUUCUUGAUCCAAAACCUCUUGCAGUAGUAGCUUCUGGUGUUGUUCAUCCUCCUAUUGUUGCAUCUUUCAAUGAUAGAAUUCGUCCACUUCUCGACUGUAUAGACAAGCUCCGCCAUCUCAACAUCAUGCAAGAAGGUAUCCAGCUCCCAACGAUCGUAGUAGUCGGAGAUCAAUCUUCUGGAAAGUCCAGUGUUCUUGAAUCCCUUGCUGGGAUCAGUCUUCCUAGAGGACAAGGCAUUUGCACCAGGGUCCCUCUUGUUAUGAGGCUGCAGAAUGAUCCAAACAUCACAGCACCAAGUCUUCAGUUGGAGUACAAUAACAAGUCACUCCCUGUUGAUGAAAUUGGCAUUGCAGAUGCUAUCAUUCUUGCUACUGAUGAGAUUGCUGGACAUGGUAAAGGUAUAUCUAACUACCCUUUAACACUAGUAGUUAAGAAAAAUGGUGUCCCUGAUUUGACCAUGGUGGAUUUACCUGGUAUUACUAGAGUUGCUGUACAAGGUCAACCUGAAGACAUUUAUGAGCAAAUUUACGAUAUUAUUAUGAAAUAUAUUGUCCCUGAGGAAAGCAUAAUCUUGAAUGUUUUGUCAGCUACUGUUGAUUUCCCUACUUGCGAGUCUAUUAGAAUGUCUCAGAAAGUGGACAAGACAGGGGAAAGGACUCUGGCUGUUGUGACAAAAGCUGAUAAAGCCCCUGAAGGGCUGCUUGAAAAGGUUACCGCGGAUGAAGUGAAUAUAGGGCUUGGCUAUGUUUGUGUGAGGAAUAGAAUUGGGAAUGAGUCUUAUGAAGAAGCAAGGAGUGAUGAGGAAAGGCUUUUUUCAACUCAUCCACUUCUGUCGAAGAUUGAUAAAUCGAUGGUUAGUGUUCCUGUUUUGGCACAAAAGCUGGUGCGUAUUCAAGCAAGCAUCAUUUCAAAAUGCUUGCCUGAAAUUGUGAGGAAGAUCAAUGAUAGACUUGCUGCCAAUCUUGCUGAACUCAACAGGCUUCCUCAACACCUAACUUCUGUAGCGGAAGCACUAACGGCAUUUAUGCGCAUUCUGAGUUCAUCAAAGGAUUCAUUGAAGAAAAUUCUAUUAAGUGGGGAGUUUGAUGAGUAUCCUAAUGAAAAAGAAAUGCACUCUGCAGCUAGAAUUGUUGAAAUGCUUAACCAAUACUCUAAUGAGCUGCAUACCAAGAAUUUUGAGAAAGUGGAUGAAUUCUUGAUGGAAGAGAUCAUGGUUUUACAGGAAUCAAAAGGGAUUGGAUUGCCAAACUUCCUUCCUCGAGGUGUUUUCCUCAAUGUUUUGCAGAGAAAAGUGAAGGAAAUUGCUGCCUCUCCAGAGGAUUUUGUGGGGAAACUGUGGAAUUACUUAGAGCGAGUUGUAAUCAUAGUUUUAAUGCAUCAUUGUGAGAACUAUCCGCAGCUUCAGUCUUCUACUAGAAGAGCAGCCCAAAACUUGAUUGCCAAGAAAAAGAAUGAAUCAGUUGAUUGGGUAAGGGAAAUCAUCGGGAUGGAAAAGCUGACUGAUUACACUUGUAAUCCUGACUAUUUAACUACUUAUAGUAAGUUCAUGGCUCAACAAAACACGUUCAUGGAGAUUAUGAAUGAUCAUGGGAAGUACUCCAUGAUAAACCUUGAAGGGGUAGGAGUAAUCGACGUUGGUCAUUUGAGGAAGCAUCUAGAUGUGGUGCAACAGGCUUUCGAUUUGAAGAUGAGAAUGAUGGCCUACUGGAAAAUUGUGCUAAUGAGGCUGGUGGAUUCUAUGGCCUUACACAUAAUGUUCAGCAUACGAAACAUGAUUAACAAGGAGAUGGAAAACGAGAUCAUACAGGAUCUGAUGGCACCACAUGGUGGUGGAAUUGAAAGAAUGCUUGACGAGUCACCUUUGGUUGCUGAGAAACGCAAUAGGCUCAAAAAGAGUGUCAAGCUUCUCAAGGAGUCCAAAGAGGUGGUGGCCAAUAUCAUGGACAGGAUUUCACUUCACGAUGAUAAUGAAAGGGACUAAGGUUAAUAUGUGAUACUAAUGAGCAGGGCACUCUAUUUCCAUUCAGCCAAUGUUCCUAAUAUCCUGUUUAUCUCCUAAUAUCAAACUACCAAGUACUAUGUUUUGGUUUUACAAUAUAUCUUUGCCCCUGCUUGUAUGUAAUUUUCGUAUUUCUUGCUAUUAGCUAAAUGCAAAUCAAGUUUAUUUGUACGAACUUAAUACUUUUUUGUUUCUGUUUUCUGAAGGGUUCUUUUACAUAUUUACCAAUAUCCACCCCUUUCACCCUUUCCUAUAGAAAAUGGAGCUAUUUUUUGUGAAAGUUUUUAACGAGGACAAUAAACCGAAGUUCUAAGAACAAUGAAACUUAGUCACUAGUGUUGUUAUUGAAGGAAAAGCAACAAGAAAAACAAAAAGAAUCCAGAAGUCCAAAAAUUUUGGUUGUUUCAGAAGCACCAGGAAGAUCAAAUCAAACAGAAUGUACCGAUGGAAUGGAAGACAUUUGCAAAAGGGAUUACAUAAAAAAAUGAUGAAGAAUUACUCAGUAAACUACCCAAAGAUCCCUUGAGCAAAAUUCUAGGCAAAUAAAACAUCUCAAUGAAAAGUAAGAAUAAUGAUCAUAAUUACUACUUCUAAUGCAUAAAAGGAUGUAUGAAGUAAAAUAUAUAUGAAACUCCAAAGCAAAUAUUGACCAAAAAUCAUUGACAAAAGAAAACCAAGACUGUCCAAAACACCCAACUUCACUAAAAUUUCAAGAAUUCUAAUUUAUACAACUUUUUCAAGAAUACUAUAACUAAGCAGUAAUGCUUCUUAGACAAUCAAAGUCAAUAUUGAUAAUCAAAAUCAAAGACAGGAGCUGAUAAUGGCUCAAGCAAGUUGCUCGUCCCCUCGUGCAUGUCAAUAUUCUGCAACUCUAGUUCCCCUGCAUCCACUUGUAAUCCCUCACAUGAGCUUUGGUCUUGUUCACCAACAAUAUUCAAUUUCCCUUUAGGGCGACUUUUCUUCUUCUUAAUAGCACAUAGAACAAAAUCUCUGCAAUCCUUGUCAAAUUUGUCAAGUAUAUGCGGAGAGAGGUCGUACUCCUUCAUCAACCAGUGACCAUGUUCCUGUUUAUACCCUUUCUUCUUAUAACACAUGCUCUUCUUGGAUCCAAUCACUGCUCUUUCGAACAGGUUUGCUUUUGUCUUCCUGUUUCCAACUGCCACCCUUAUUUCCCACAUUACGACUUGCUUUUCUUCUUGAGAUUUGUAAUGAAGAAGCGAUACUGACUACAAUCAUCCUCAUUACAAGAGGAUACUCCUUGGUUCUUGUUCACCGUAAGUAUCCACAUGAAAAGUGAUGAAUCCAUCAAUUUUCCACCAAUGAAUCUCAAUAAGAAAGUGAGAGCUUCUUCAUCAGUAGGACUGAAUCGGAAACCCUCUUCCAAAUUCUCCAUUAUACACUAAUCUCAAAUUCUCUUUCUGUUUUUUUUUUCUUUCUCAAAUUGUAGAAAAGAAGAAAACAGAGUUGGGAUUUUAUACAGAGAAGCGAAGUUGUAAGUAAAAUUUUUAUGGAAACUUUCUACACGUUUUCUAUUAACAGAAAAAACAUAUUUGGAAACUUUUGUUGUAAUAUUUUAUGGAAAUUUUUAUACCAAAAAAAAGUGAAAGAAUUUGGAAAGUUUUUUUUUUCUUUUUUUUUGGAAGGUUGAGAACUCCAGUUUUAAGUUUAUUAUUUUGAAAAUAAUAAUUUUUAGUAUAUGGUGUUAGUGACAAAAAAAUAAUGAAAUAUCAUUUAGAAAACAAAACAUAGUUAAUCAUAGUUUUGUUCAAUGUGAUUCUUUCAAAAUUCAUGCUUUUCAAAAUUAAAAUUGUUUAUAAUCAUUGUGUACUUUUUUUUUAAUUGAUACUACUGUCUAAGCUAUCUGUCAUAUGUUUUAAUUAUUUUAAUUUCAGAUUUUGAGUAAUAAAAUUACUGAUACAAUAACUUAUCAAAUGUAAUUCACACCUUAUGAGGGUGAUGCGUACAUAGUUUUAUCCUAAUCUUGUAAAGGUAGAUAUGUUGUUACCAAUAGAUCGCCGGCUCAAGUAAAACAUGUCGAAAUCAGUGAAUAAAAGGAAAUACCAUAGUGACAGAACUCAUUAGGACAGUGGAGAAAAGAACAGUAGCAAUAACAAAUAAUACAAUAGUCAAAACAAUGAAAACACAAAGUAAUAGUAUGAUUGAAGAAUAAAAGAAUGCAUGAACAUCAAUGAUGAUACUAAUAUCGAAAACUAGACCAUGAUCAACUAUUUACUAACCUUCUAUUCUAAUCCACAAUUUCUAUAUUCUCCUAUACAUUGUCAUGUCCUCGAUUCGUAAGUUGCAUGUCAUAUCAUGUUUAAUUACGUCUCCUCAAUACUUCUCCUAAGAUACACUACAACCAACUUUUGUCACUCAUCACCAUCCUUAAUUGUGCAUUUCCUCUUCACAUAUACAAACCAUCUCAAUCUCAUCUUGUUCUCCACAGAGGUUACUCACACCUUGUCUCCAAUAUCUAUGUUGCUAAUCUUCUCUCUUGGUAUUUUCACACAUCUAUCUCAACAUUUUCAAUCUAUGUUACUUGCAUCUUUUGUUUGAAUGUGAGAGUUCUUGACCAUCAACACUCCACUCUAUACAACACAUCUAAGUUUUUGUAACACAUUUUUAUCAUACAAUACAUUAGACGUGAGCAUUCAUUUUAUCCGCUCUGCUCCCACACAAUGUACAAUAUCAUCAUCGUUAAUGCUUAAAUACUUUUACCGUGGUAGAAUUCUAUUUUGUACAUAUUUUCCUUGUUUUUAUGGAUACCAUACGAUCAAUAAUAACAAAAUAUUAUUUCCCUACAAAAUAAUUAUCACAUUUCUUUUACAGAGACAUGUACAUUAGAAGUUUAUUAUUUAACACAACUUAUUACAAAGAUAUAAAUGAUGAAAGAGUCCAAUUAUGAAAUCAAAACCAAAUCAACCACAAAGCUUCUUCCUCAAUUGACCCUCUCCGAUGCUCUCUGUUCGAGACGUUACUUCAUACCCUUUUUCUGCCCUAAUAAAAAGUCACAAAAAUUAAACAUUGUAAUGUGUACAGAAUUGUUAAGAAGCAAUGAAAACUUGAAAUUAGUAAAAUUCCAUGAACAAAAGACGGAUACAAUCACUCGCACAAAUGAAAGGAAAUUCCAAAUCUUGUUCAACUUUAAACUAGAACAAGGAUGUAUAUUUGUCGUACUACAAAUUGUUGCUGUCGCUGCAGAGCUAACAGGAAGUAAUAUCUUCUUCAUUUGAUUGUUCACAAGGACAAACAAACAAAAUCUAUGUCAUAACGAGGAGAACACACUUAAACAGAUGGGGCACAAACUUGCCUGUUGCGGCUGCUGAAAAGAACAAGGUAGACGGGAUCUUGAGAUGAAAGAUUGAAAAGCUGAAGAGCUAUAUAGGCACAUGUGCUGAUGCUGAGGAAAUCAACACAAAGCACGAAUUAGAUAUAAUUAUGGUCCAAAAACAAAUUGUUGUAACAUAUCAUAUAAAUAUAGCCGGAAAAAGUGCCAUCAGUUUUUGAGGGACCAGAAAAUUGCCGGCAUGAGAAAAAGAAACACAAUAGAAAAUAAUGAAGUCGUCCUUUACAGACAUAUAGUUGAAGGAAUAUAAAGUCUAGGAAAUACUAACUAGAUUGAACUAUGGUUAUUCAUGAUGGAAUAUUAACUCAUGUUUAGGAGAACUCUAAAAACUUAAAGCUUAAUGCAUGGAAGAAGGUAAUAAUGCAGAUUAGUUAUUAAUGAAGUUGUUGCCAUAGGCAAAGGCUGAAAUAUUAAUUGACUUCUUGCCAAACAAGCAAGAUCUUUUAAGUUAUUUCGACAAAUUCACAGAACCUCUUCUCAUUCAGAAUCACAUUAAGGCAUGCAAACACAUAUAUAUAUGAACUCCUCCUCAUUCCAUUACAUAUGAAUGAGAGUUCAUAUUUUGCUUUCACCUACAUAGAGCAACAAAUAAGACGAUGUACUGAUGAAGCUAACUUCAAACUGAUACUCCCUCUGCUCCAAUGUAUAUGACACAUUUUUCUUUCUAGUUUGCCCAAAAAGAAUUGACAUAUUUCCUUAAUUGGCAAAUAUUUAAUGACACUAUCUACAUUUUACCCAUGUUGGAUCCUGUUUAUUUGACAAAAAUUCCAAUAGGUGUACACGACUUCUAUUUAAAAAAUUAUUUCUUUUAGAGAGUAGUUUUGAAAGAUUGCAAAAUAUUUCCAUAUUUCUAAAACUCCAUGUCCAGUCAAACUACAUCGUAUAAAAUGGAAUGGAGGAGUACAAUUUAUGCAUUAUCCAAAAAAAACAUGUACCUGCCAGAACAAAUUAUAAGUAUUAUCCAUAAAGCUGCACUCAGCCAACUUGAUUCCUUAUAAGCAACCCAAACCUGAAAAAACAGUGCAACUCAUCUAAGAUAAAUAAUCACAUGAAAAGUCCUAACUGAUGAUUUUGACACCUAAUGCAGCAACUGGCUCUAGCCAUAUAUCGAAUUUUACAAACUUUGGACUUCCUAAAGCAAAGGUAGAUAAAUAGAGGGGAAUUUCCCAAAAAAAAAUUAUUUUAAAAAAAGGCAGAUGAACAGUGAAAAGCUUACCGAGAGAGCCACAACACCAACAUAGAAAUCAAUCACUGUUGCUAUCACCCACCUGCACAUAAAUUGACUUCUUAAAUUGCAUGUCAAAGUAAGACUUAUACCAAGCAGAAAAUUAUAAUCGGCUGAUGUAAGAGGAUGCAUAUGUAUUACUUCUGCACAAACUCAUGAAGUUUGUUUUCCAGAACAACUUCUAAACAAAUUUGCAAAUGAUAGACCGCAGCCCCUUGGACAAAGAAGAAGACAAUUUUCUAGGGUUGCACGACAUCAACCAGAGUAGAGAGAGGAAAUGCUGAUAAGUUUCAUGAAUCUAGGCCCUAAGAAUGACCUGUACAUAGUGAAUCCAUUUAGAGGAAGAAAGAGCUUAUUUUAGUUAGACUUUGCAAACCAAAGAAGAGGAUAAUUAAUACAAAAAUUCCGAUUGAAAUUUAGCAUCAGAGAAAUAGAGUUCGAAAUACCAUAGAUACCAUAUUAUCCGACAUAUGUCACACUGAAGGUAGUAUCAUGUUACAUAGGGAAAAGUUAUAAAGCUCACCAUAGAUCAGUCUAAUCAUAUGUUAUAAUAUUUAAAGUUAACACGGUAAGAAACAAAUAAGGAUUAAACGAUUAACAUGAGGUAAGAAAUCAUCAAUAGUCCUUGUUCAUGAAAAAUGAGAGAGGCAAUAUUAUUAAUAGAAAUUUUAUACAUUCUGAGAGCACAAGUCAUUUUCAGUAACCUCAUCCCAACCUUCGAAUCACUGUAGUGCAGAUAUUCUCUCAUUUAGGAACUCAUUCCAGGAAGACAUAUAUACUUCCUUAAAUAAAUAAAAUGCUGAUAUGACAUUGAAUAAAUGAAAAGGGAGUUUUCCUCCACAAUAGCACAAAAACUUCCAGUUACGAGAGGUUUAUGCUACUUCCCCAUAAAGUGCAUCAAUUUAGAAAGCAGCAGAGCGGAGAUCUAAUUAUAGUUCAAACAAGAAAACAAACAAAACUUUCAAGCACCGACAAAGUUCUCCGCCAAUGCUGCUAUCCUCAAAAUCGGUAGCAAAGUCUCCAUUUAACCAGAAAAAAACAAGGUUGAUGGUAUCUGUUUUAAAUAGGAAUAAAUAAACAAACAAAUAACUUACGGAGUAAAAACAUCUCUGCGAAAUGGAGAACCAUCAGUUACAAUGGUGUAAAUCAAUGUCCCUAGCAUCAGACAGCCCAAAGCAGGAAAUAGAAUUCUUGCAGUUAAAAGAGAACAUUUCUUCUGUUGUUCUGUUUCAGUCCUAAAUCACAACAUCUCAUCAGAUCAUUAUAAGUUAAGGUCAUUUUCACAAAGAAAACUAACAAAAUAUAGGUGCCACUAAUACAACAUUGAUGAGGAAAGCUUCAAACUCCAUGAACACUUGCAUAUUAUAUUUUUUAAAGGAACACUCUAUCAGUUACAGCUUUGUAUAAUUAUUUUCGGCAAAGAGUAGGUUAUCAAUACAUGUCAUGACUAUAUGACCUGAUAACGUAGUACACAGCAGGGCUUGUACAAAAGAAACAACCACAACAAGGGUAACUAGAAAACACAGUAUGAAAUGAAUGAUCCAACUUGCAGUUAGAAGCACCAUUGUAAUUCCACUAAAAGAUCUUGGAUGACUGAUAUAUAAAAGAAGCCAAUAUUCUUAAGAAGUGGUAUACAUAAUAGUACUUUGAUUUCGGAAACUACAUAUGACAUACUAAGUACUGAGAAAGACAACACUCGUCACUAAAUAACAAAACGAAUCACAAAUUUUUCAUCUCUUUAGUAUAUUGCUGAUAAGAUACUUGUAUUUUUUAUUGUUGAGAAUACUUGAUUUUAGUUUCUUUUCCCAAUAUGUGAAUAAUUAAACGACUCAAAUAACAUUAAAGUCACAGUUACCUUUUAUCUAACUCUACUAACAAAAUGGAAGAUGUAUCUAACAAAUAAACCAGGCACAUAUUUAAAGUAUUCAACUGGCAAUUCCUCCUGCACAAAUGGAGGAUGCAACAUUUCGUUGACUAAUCUGUUUUCUCCCUAUGAUUGAAAACUUCAUUUUUCCAAGAUGGGGAUGAGGCAUUUGAACACUAUUCUUGUCCAAGACAAAUGCCAAAGUUUGAUAAACCCAAGUGUGAUAUUUACAUUCUUUGACUUUACCUCUAUAAGUAUAUGAUCAAUAAAGAGUAAAACAAUGAACAAUGAACAUAAAUAUGCCAGACCCAGUACAAGCUAUGUUUCCACCAUUGUCUUGACCUGUGAAGAGAUGUAAUUUCAUUUCUUUUAUUCUGAGAACCACAUUUUUCUAGAUAUUUUCACUACAUGUCUACUCUGAACAAAACAACAGGCAUGAUACGCAACUGAAGCAAAAACAACAAGAGUAGCUCUUGUUAACAACAGUUAUAUAUUACAUUUGCAAAUAUAUUCUCCAACCAAACACCAAACUUGUGCAUGAUAUUUCAGUUUCACGAGUAUCCUCAAACAGUUGGACAUGCAUACAUGAAAAUAUAUGAACUAAAUAUCAUUUCCAAUUGAACUCUCUUUUUCUUUUUCUGGUCUCCAAAGAGAAAUAAAAACAGAAACUAUGAAGGAAAAAAGAACUUUGUGCAAAUAUCUACUCACUUUUCCUGACGUCGUAAUAGGACAAAGUAAAUUGGAUCCUGUAAAGAUUCCUGAGUUGAAAGCUUAAGAAAUUGCAACACGAUGUAGCCACAUGUAGCAAUGCUGUAAAGGGAGUAGAGAGAAUGUUAUCACCAUCCCUGAAUAUAUAAUCACAAACUGGCAAUUUAUGCAUGAUAUUGAUUGAACUUUGUAGGGGCAAUGACAACAUGGCCUUCUGAUGACAUGCAAGGAUAAUACAAACUGAAAAGGAAGACAGUCAUCAACACUGGAAUGCAAGAAAAUUUGUAUCCUAUGCAAUACAAGUUGCCAAAAGACAUCAAGGUAAAUGUGCAGUCAUACAAAAUUGAAUAUAUGUUGAAACAAAGGGUGCAGUUGCACACAUAGAGGAUAUAGUAAGAGAAAGUCAUCUUUGAUAGACCUAAAAUACAUCAAAUAUACACCAGUUAACUGGCGUAACAUGGUGAUUGAAGGUGCUGAAGGGGAUGAGAAAGGCCUAAAUCACAUGGAGGAGGUUGUCUGAAAAGACCUAAAAAAUCUAGGAAUCAUUGCAAAUCUGAAAAAGUAACAUGGAAGAAAAGAUCCAAAUCAAUAAGACCAACUAGUGUGCAUUGACGCUUAAUUUAUGCUUUUGCACAAAUAUUAGAUUCAUAAGUGUGACAUUUAGAGAUUUUCUUGAACUUUGCCUUACAAGACAAACUUCUAGAUAGUAUUGGAAUGAUGUGGGCCCAAAUAGCAAGAAAUAUGUAGAGAAUUCAAAUCGCGGACCUAGUUCUGCUUGAUGUAUAGUUGAUUGAUUGACUGGGUAUAUCAUCAAGGAAGUUAUCUAUAUACGAAGGGAAUUCAUAGCAGCGAACACAAGAUAUAAAUAAUUGGGAACAUCAAUCCUAAGACUGUAAUGCCCAUGGGUGAAGACAAAAAACAGUGUAUGUCAACAGAUAGAGACCUAUUCAACCUGAGAAUUUAGUCAUAUAAGAGAUGCUAAGAGAAAGCUUAAAGAACAGUCAUCAUCUGAAACUAAAAGUACAUCAAAGUUGUUCUAUAUACAGGAAUAGGGGUGGCAUACCUUCCCAAACAUACUAGCAAGACCACCCAAAGUAUUGCAGUAAUCCAGUUUGAUUCCUUGUAGACAACCCAAGACUGAAAACACCACACCAAAACAUGAGAGCAUUGCUUUUGCGGUUCUGCUCUUAGAUGUUAAGAGCAGAGAAACAUAGUAACAUGUGAUGCAUUCUGGCCAAUGUCUUGGAAUAAAAAUAUUGUUUACAAUGCAGUUAAAACCCUUGCACAAAUGUCUGAGAAUCUUAACCUUUAUAACAUUUAUAGCUCUAACUCCUAUACCAUUUAUAUCUCUGACAUCUAACAUAGUAGGUGCGCCAAAUUAAACAUGUUCUCCUCAUUAUUUAAUGCUAGUGAAACUGUAGAAAAAUAAAAUGCAAUUGACUUUAGAAUAAAGGUUCACAUAUGAAACAUUUUGAAGCAUUAAAUUAAUCAUGGCAUACCCAUAUAACAAAUAUGUGGAUGUAGAAAUCUAUCAGGGUAGCUGCCAUCCACCUGCAAGAUUCAUCCCACUCAUUUCAGAUUGUCUGGAAAGCAGAUGGAACUGAACUAUUUAUUUUUUUGACAAGGUAAGUGGUAUUAAUAACAACAUCAAGAAUACAGAUGGGACUAAACUGUUUUUCAAAUCAAAAUCUCAAUUUCAAGUUAGUUCCUUUUUCUUAACCGUUUUCAAAAGAAAUAUUACUCCUCUGUCGGAGUACAAGGGUCAGAAAUCUUAUUUUGAGUAUGAAUUUGGGUAUAGAUUCUUCAUUUUUUUAAAAAUAGAACUGUUCUAUUCGUAAACUACAUGAAAAGCAGUGCAAAUCAACAUAGCUAAUGAUUCAAAAUAUUCAAACGAAGUUUGAGAAAGUUGAAAUAAAAAAAGUGUUGGACUCUCCAAACAGUAACAACUUCACAAUAAAAUGAGAAUGAGGGACUACUAUAAGAUAACUAAACACAUAAUUAAUUAAAAAAAGUCACUCCCUCGGUUUCAAUUUGCUUGUCCUGUUUUAACUUGGUACCAAGUUGAAGGAAGGAAAAGGAACUUCUGAACUAAAGAUUUGUCAAAUAAAUCAAAAUACAUUUUAAUCUUGCGGUCUUAAAGAAGUCUCGUGCAAAGUUAGAAUUAAAGAAUUGCUAAAAAGGAAAAGGAGCAUUCCUGUAUAAACGAACGAAAAGAGAAAGUAUGACAAAUAAAUUGAAAUCCAGAGAGUGUCUUAUUUCUAGCAGCUUGAACUUUUACACCUUGUUUGGAUGGUUGUUACCCAUCGUAUUAUAUUGUUAAUUUAAAUACAAUGUUCAUUUUGAUCGUUACUUAAAUUCUAUUGUAUGAUGUUGUAACAAUUAAAAAUCUCAUUUUAUGUAACCACUAAAUUUGUGCACACUAUAUCCUAUCUAGGCUAUUACUUCUUCCAUUUUAAAAUAAUUAAAUUGUUCCUUGGUUUGAGAAGAAGGCUAAUUCCCCUGCAUCCACUUGUAAUCCCUCACAUGAGCUUUGGUCUUGUUCACCAACAAUAUUCAAUUUCCCUUUAGGGCGACUUUUCUUCUUCUUAAUAGCACAUAGAACAAAAUCUCUGCAAUCCUUGUCAAAUUUGUCAAGUAUAUGCGGAGAGAGGUCGUACUCCUUCAUCAACCAGUGACCAUGUUCCUGUUUAUACCCUUUCUUCUUAUAACACAUGCUCUUCUUGGAUCCAAUCACUGCUCUUUCGAACAGGUUUGCUUUUGUCUUCCUGUUUCCAACUGCCACCCUUAUUUCCCACAUUACGACUUGCUUUUCUUCUUGAGAUUUGUAAUGAAGAAGCGAUACUGACUACAAUCAUCCUCAUUACAAGAGGAUACUCCUUGGUUCUUGUUCACCGUAAGUAUCCACAUGAAAAGUGAUGAAUCCAUCAAUUUUCCACCAAUGAAUCUCAAUAAGAAAGUAAGAGCUUCUUCGUCAGUAGGACUGAAUCGGAAACCCUCUUGCAAAUUCUCCAUUAUACACUCUUUUUUUUCUCUCUCAAAACUAUAAGAAUGAAUGAAAAGAAGAAAGCAUGGUAGCAAUUUAUACGGAGGUUUUCAGAAAGACGCUGCAUACAUAAAUUUUAGGAAACUUUUUCUACAUUUUAUACAAACUUUUGUUUUUAUUAUUUACACGGUUUCUAAUUUCUAAUUUCUAUAACCAAAAAUAUUUAUGGAAACUUUUUUUAGGAAAGAGUUGUGAUUAUGUUAAUUAUUAGAUUAUUUUUUUCAAAUCGUUGAGCAAUUAGUUAUUUAAUAAGGAAAUAAUAAAUAUAAGUCUACUUUCAACUCUAAUUUUUCUUUAUUAAGGUAAGUAACUAUGAUUUAACACCUUGUUUUGAUCUUUAUUAUAAUCGUAUCCUAUUAUUAAUUUAAAUAUAAUAUUUAUUUUGUGCACCUGAUAAAUUACAUGCUUGCAUCUCAUCUUAGCCAAGUAGUAUUCUGUUGCUAUAUUUUUACAUUUGCAAAUACAAAAGGUAUUUUGAGUAGUUUUUUACCUAAAUAAUACUCACGUUAUAUGUACUAAGGCGAACUUAGUUACUAACUCUAAAUUUUGAAUUCACCUCUAUCUAACACUAUCUAGAUCGCUGUAAUAUAAGGGAUAAAAGGGUGUUUGACUUAUUUUUAGUGUUUCUCUUAAGUUAGCUUCUAUCAAGAAAAAAUUUACGUAAAACGUAUAUCACGUGCGUGCACACUAACAUCAACCUAAUGCACUAACUUUUUAGCCAUGAUAUGUAAAUUCGAAUUUCAUACUAAAUGUAUAUGAUACAUAAUUAUUACCAAACAAUAUUGUAUCAACUCAAAGCUAAAAUUUUAUGGGCAAAACUUUCUUAUUUUAUGUAUCUAGUAGAAAUACUAAAUUGAAAGAAUCAAUAUGAUGUAUCUUCUCAAAAUUUUGAAUCAAUAAUUCAAAGAAUCUUCAAUGAAGUAGGAGAAUAAUUUUAAAAACUUGAUGCCAACUUUAGGGGAUCAUUGAUGGAUUUGACCUUUAAAAUAUACCAUAACUUUUUAUUUCAAUUUUUAAGUUUUAAAAUUUGAAAUCAAAGAUAUAUAUAUAUAUAUAUAUAUAUAUAUAUAUAUAUAAAAUGAUUUGUAUUAUUAUAUUGGUAUUAUAAUAAAUUAAAUAUAUUAUUAAUUACAUUAUAUAUUUUAUUAGUUAUUUUUAAUUAUAAAAUUAUUAUAUUUUAAAUUGAAAAGGGUCCUCUGAACUAUGUAAAAAUAGACCAUUUAUACCCUUUGUUAUAUUUUUGGAUAAAAAUGUCUUUGGUAUUAUCUUAAGAGACCACAUAUACCCUCAAGAUUUAACACCCCAUAUUUUUAUUGACUUGGCAAGCCAUGUGGGACUAAUCCUUCCACCUAAGCAUUGCUAACUAGGAUUCACUACAAAAGAACUAUACCUUUAGCGGCGACAGUAAUCGCCACAAAAUCCCAAAAAAUCUUUACUAAAAGUUUUUAACAUUAAAUUCUAAUUUUGUGUUUCUUUCUUCAUUGUUUUUAAAAAAACAAAAAUGAUAUCGAUUAAGUAGGAGUUUUAAGGCACCGUAUAUUUUAUUUUUAUGUUACAUAUAAAUGUAUAAAAUGUACAAUGAUGCAUUAUAUAGUAGGAGAUGUGAAUCGAAAAGUAAUUUUCAUGAUUUUUCAUUAUAAUAUUGGGUGUUUUUAAUAUUGAUAUUGCAAGUUAUUUAUUUUAGAAAAUUAGGUUGCAAUCGAAAAUUAAUUAUCGUUUUUUUGGUUGAAAAAAUAGGUUUUACUAGCAAAUGGUUGUUGGAGUCUUAGUCGUCACUAAAAAUUACUCAUAACCUCUAGUGACAAUAUUUUGAGAUUUUUUGGCAACUCUGUCUCCACCAAAGAUCAAGUUCUUUUGUAGUGAAUAUUAGUUGACAACGCUUAGGUGGAGGGAUUAGUCCCACGUGGCAUGCCACGUCACUAAAAAAUUGGGGUGUUAACUCUUGAGGGUGUUUGUGGUUUUCUAGGGUAACAACGGGGGUAUUUUUUUAUCCCAAAAUAUAAUGGAGAGUAUAAGUGAUCUAUUUCAUAUAGUUUAAGGGUAAUUUUGAUCCUUUUCCGUAUUUUAAAUCAUCCAUGUAGCACGGACACGUAUACUACUCUCUCCAUUUAAAAAAAAUGAUCCUAUUUCCUUUUUAGUCUGUUUAAAAAAGAAUGAUUCAUUUCCUUUUUUGACAACAUUUUAAUUUUAACUUUUCACGUGACAUGUUUAAGACCACAAAAUUAAAAGAUAUUUAUAAUACAUUUGGCAUAACUUUAAAUUAGAACCACAAAAAAAAAAUCUUCUUCCUUUUUCUUAAAUUCCGUUCCAAAUCAAACUAGUCAAAUCUUUUUGAAACGGAGGGGAGUACUACGUACUAUUAAGUGUCCAAAUUUUAAAAAGGAACUUUACAUUCACAAUUGUUAUUGACGUAAAUGACCCCAGAUACACGUCACAUGCAAGUAGCAUCCCCAAGUACUUUUUUGUAAUUUCAUCUAUCGUCAUUUCUCAUUUCCCUCUGACUAACAAUAGCUCUUUUUGUACCAAUUUUCAGACAAACCCUAGUGAAAAUCUCAUAAGCGAAAUCGGAGAAAAUGGAUUCCACCACUCAAAUACCGGUCAAGAAAAACCCUAAGAAGGCCAAUCUUUUGGAUCAUCACUCUAUCAAGAGCCUUCUGGAUGAGUCUGUCACUGAGGUACCUCAGUUUUUACCCUAGAUUUGAAUUGAAUUUGACUUAAUUUUGUGUGUUGAUUUUUUUUGUUUUUCUUCAUUAUAUGAUCUAUAGAUUGUUACAAGCAAAGGAUACCCAGAAGAUGUGAGAUUGAGUAACAUCAGGUUAUUGAUUGGUUCAAUCAUAAUCGCAAUUGCUCUUGUUGCUCAGUUCUACAAGAAGGAUUUUCCUGCUAAUCGCGAUUUUCUCAUUGGAUGCAUUGUGUUAUAUCCUUUUGAAUUUUCAUUUUGAUUUUUGUUGGGAUGAUAACUGAGUAUUAGAAUGAAACGGAUCUGGAUGGAGGAUAUAGGGGUUUAUAUAAUCUGCCAUGUUUGAUUUCGAAUUGAGGCAUAACUGUGUAUUUUUUAUCAGAAAAGAUUAUCACUGAGGGAGAGUUGGAAAUUUGAAAUGAAAAAAAGAAACAAUUUCUUGUUUGAUAGCUAUUUUAUUUUUCAGUGCCUGCAUCUGUUCUAUUUUCAUUGUAAAUACUGUUUGGUUUAUUCAGUUAUUGCCUUUUUAUUAUAAAACUAAACUGGGAGUUUGGAAUCAAGAUGAACAAGUCCUUUAGCAUUCUCAUGAGUAGUCACAAUUUAAUAGUCAUGAUUAGAGGGUUGAAUUUUGGAUCUGAAUACUUGAUACCGUAAGAGUCUAUGGCUGAGAAGAAUGCAAGUGAUAAAUUUUGAAGGCCGCAAGUUUAUAGGUUUAGUUGUAUUUGAUGUAUGAUAGUUGAAAAGGUAUGUACUGGGAGUUUAAUUGAUGGAUGUUUAUUGCCCUUGAGAGAUCUAAUACUUUUAGUACGUGAAACCUUUUCUCCAACUUUGUCAUAUCCUUGACUAUGGCACGUAUAUCUUGUUUAAUGUGAUAUUACAGCUGAUUAUCCACACAAAGGAAAAGAAUGCUAUUUUGUUCACCUAUCCUCCGGAGGUUAGUGAUCCGUCAACAUGUCUUUUUCUGCAUCAUUAUGUUUGUGAAAUUCAACAUGCUAGCCAAUAUUAUAAACACUAAUGGAUAAGUUAUUAUCAUGAAAACUGAUUAUCAACUUAAGGUUAAUCAACUUCAUCAAGACAUUGGAUAGUUCUUUGCUGAAAGUGACAUUUCGAAUAGAACUGGAACAGUGAUUUAUCUACAAAGAAAAUUUAAUAGAAAAAUCUGACUAUAAUAGGGUUUAAAGAUCCGAAUCAAAGUGGUGAAUAAUCCGUUAUAACUAUUAACUCUCGACCACUAGUUUUCUAACUGCACCACAUUUUGAUGCAUACUACAAAAAGACUUCUAUUUAGAGGUGUUGGAGUUUUUCCAUACAAUAAAUAAGAAUUUAGUGGAUGAUAAAGUUGUGGGAACAGGUGAUCAUUGGUUGGUGGAUAGUCUUCUAGUGUAUUAAGUACAAAAAAGAGUUGUUUAUUUGUGGUGGAGCUUUUGGACUCAAGAACUAAAUACAAUGUUGUGCUGUUAUAUUUUGGAGGGGACAAGUCUAGAAUUUACUUCUGGAUUAGUGAUGAUUCAACUGUAGUUAGCUUGAAGCUUAAUAUUAUUGUUAAAAACGGCCUAAGGACUUAGCAAGAGAAAGAUUUUGAAGCACAUCAAGGGGUGGGCUAAAGCGUAUACAUUCAUAUAUGAGGAAACCCGGUUUGGAUUUUGAUAACCAAAUUCAAUUGGGAAAACAAAUCAUAUGAUGACCUGUUUUGAUAUACUCUAUUAUACUUAUUAUUUUAUCCCCCUCUAUGGUGUAAUCGCAAGAUCUGUGGAUAUUGAGUAUUAGAACUCUUAAUGAAAACUUGGAGCUAGUACGAGUGGGUGUUGGUUAUAAAAAGAAUGAGUGGGUUGUUGGAGUUACGGGAGCACUCAUGAUAUUUGUUUUAGCCAAUAAAGUUCCUCUUAAGGGUAUAGAGUUAUUCUAAAAAGCACCUGGGAAAUUGGGUAACACGAGGUUGUAAUGUGCUAACUGAUAAUGCUUAGUCAACAUGUUGAUUAUUAUGUGGAAGCAUUGAUACUUUAUUUCCCAUAUGCAAUUAGUUCAAGUGUGAGACCACUAUUGUCUCUGGUGGUAAACUUUUUUGUUUUACUAAGUGGUUGUUCAAUUCAACGUACACCUUCAUUAUGCAUAAAAUCUCCUUCAAUGGGUGAACUUAUUUUUAAUAUAAAAUUAGUGUGGGGUGGAGAAUAUGCAUUUUAAUAUAAAAAAUGUUAAUAGUAAUUGCAUAUGAUGGUAAUGUGGCCACAGCUUCUAUAAAAAUUGCUAUUCCAUGAUCAACCCACCUUUACCCCUCUAAAGAGCAAAUGUCUAUCCAACAACUCAGAUAUCAUCCUCUCACAACUUUAUUACAUCAUUGCAUAUUUAUUUAUUUAUUCUAUGGAAGAAUACUUGCACCUAUAAAUAGGAGUCCGUUUGCCCUGUGUUGGUGUAUGAACAAGUGUUACAAAUAGGAGUCUCUUUACCUUGUGAUGGGGUAUGAACAAGUCUCCAAUACUAUAAAAAAUAUGUUUAUUUGUUAGAAGGUGGUUUAUUGUGGUGUUGUUUUAGACUCAACAACUAAUGACAGGAGUGCCAAGUAACACACAUGUAAAUGGGUGAAUCUAAACCCAACCCAUUAAAUACCCAUUUUCAGCCGUUAUAUGGACAUGAUCAAUAUUUGACCCGUUUUUAAUAAAUCAUUAUCCAACUCAUAUUUACUUGGACGGGUUGGAUGGUUACUUGAGUACUUUAUUCCUUUCUUCAAGCACUAAUUAGAAGUGUGAUGAAGGGAGUACCGUCUUAUUGCUCCAGAUUCACAUAAGACUUAAUGAGCUUUGGUUUGUUUAUGACAGGGAUCUUUUAACAGCACUGGCUUGGUUGUCUCAUCAAAGCUGCCUAGAUUCUCCGACAUGUACACACUUACAGUAGAAAGUGCUGAUCCCAAGUCCAUUUCCGCGAGGCCAAAAGUUGAAUUUACCAAGAGCGUCACAAAAUGGUCUCUUUCUCCCUCUCAUCCUUUUGAAAGAGGAAAAUAUAUAGUACAUGUGGGAUUUCAUAAACUGAAUGACUUGCUUCUGACGAGAGAGAUAUGUUUUUGCAGGUUUGCCAAAGAUGGAGUUCUAGUUGAGGGCCUAUUCUGGAAAGAUGUUGAAGCCUUAGUUAACAAUUAUGCUAAGGAACACAAAAAGAGCAAAUAGAUUCAAUUUCAAACAUUUUGAUAGGAAUGUGGAUGGCAUGGAUAGCCAAUGAGAUUGAAAACAUCGGUUUAUGACUUACUGGAUUAAUAUCAUCUAUAUCAUUGUUGAAGAAAAUUUAAUCCAAUUUUCAUCAUAGUUUUAUAUUUUGAUCCAACUGCAAAAUAUUUUAGCCUUGUUGAUCAUUAAAUUAAUUUUAGAAAAGUAGAGCAUUUUUGUGAUGCACUAGGCAGGCGCCAAAAAAAGGAGAAGACUGCAAGAUCAUAAGCCCCGUUCAGUUAAGCCCAGUGGGCCACGUGAAUCACUGUCGAACUGGCCAAUAUCGCUCCCGAGCAGGAGUUGUAGGCUCCACCUUGUCUCAGCCCAGGCCCAGUGGGCUUAAACUCCUAGAGCCCGUGAAGCUCGUUCGUUACCGAACCUGCAUCUCUGCAGAGAUGGCCCGGGGACUUUCCUGGGUCCUGGCCCACCCAAUGAGUGAACCUUGACCCAUUCACGUCGUCUUGCAGUCCAGAUGCACAAAAACAGCAGACAAUAAAAUUAAAACAAAGAUUAGAGAACCUCCACAAACGGUGUGGGACAAAUAGGGAUUUCUGUUGUCCUGUU
rnacentral:lncRNA from 1 species